UUUUUUUUUUUAGUUUAAUUCUACCUAAUUAACUAAAAAAUGGGCCCCCAAUUUAUUGGGGCCAAGGACUUUUUUUUAUGUCUUACCAGCCGCCCCUGAGUCCUUGUAUUAUUUUAUUUCAAACCUUGCAUAUAUUUUAUUAUAAUUAAUAGAAAUGUAUUCAUUAUUAUAUAGACAUGUUUUGUCGACAAAUAAGAUAUUAUGUCGCCAAAUUUGUGUGAUUUGGUGUACUGAAUGUGGUUUCUCUCGUGACUUUUGAGUUAUCUAACAAAUAACAAAUGAACAUUUUUUUUUACAUUAAAGAAAAUAAAUGUUUUUAUUAGAUAUUUAUAGAAAACAAAAAACAUUUCUACCUUAUCUUAAAAUAUUGAAAAGAUCGGAUUUGGCUUCUCUCCAUUUUCCCCAAGUUUUUGCUUGGAUGUGAGGCUCAUGACAUAGAUACAAAUUAAUGGCUAAGAUUUGAUUGAUUAUAAUAAGAUUUUAAUUAUAAUUUAGAUAAUUAAUAUUUCAUAAAAAUAGUAAUGCCAUAACCUUGCAUAUAUAUUAUCUUUUCUAUAAAUAUAUUAUUAAAAAAAAUUCUCUUUUUUCUAAUUUUUUUCCUGCUAGUAUUAUCAUUUGUUUUUGUCCUAAAUAUGUUAAAUAUUUUCUAUUUUUUUAAAAAAAAUUCCUGUGAGUAUUUUUGCUAUUAAUUAUAUGUGAACCAAUUUUAAAGAGAAAGAUCAAAAUUGCAAUCUAACACUAACUCAAUUAAAAAAAAAAGAACGUAAAUACUCGUAGAGAAAAAAAAAAGAGAAAAAAAUUUAUAAUAUAUUUAUGGAUAAGAUAAUAUAUUUGUAUGAUUGUGACAUUACUAUUUUUAUGAAAUAUUAAUUAUCUAAAUUAUAAUUAAAAUCUUAUUUCAAUCAAUUAAAUCUUAGACAUUAAUUCUUACAUAUGCCAUGUGUCUCACAUCCAAACAUGAACUUGGAAAAAAUGAAAAGGAGCCGGAUCCGAAAAGAUCAUAAACUCUGCGUCGUUAUCGCUAGCUCGACUUUGACUUUCAACAAACAAGCACCUUUCUGUUUUAUUGAAAAUGAAAAUAGAUUUCGAUCUUUUUUUUAAAAGGAGCCUUUUUCUUUUCACACAAUUUUGGCUAUAUACACUGCAAACGAAAUCCCCUCUUCUUCUACAUUGUUUUCGAAUAAAGUAAGUGUCAAAUUUGAUUUGUAUUUCACGAAAAUUUUAUCAUUCACAAAUUUAAUUAAUUUUUAUUUAAUUGGCAUAUUACUCUUUUUGGGUGUGUUUGGUAUGAAGGAAAAUAUUUUUCUAGAAAUUGCUUUCCUGGAAAACAAGUAGAUUUUUGACUUAUUUUCUCAUGUUUGGUUGGUGAGUAGAAAAUAUUUUUUAGUGUUUGAUUUAUGAAUGAAAAUUAUUUUUGAGAAAAUAUCUCUUUUUUUUACUAGAGAGUAGAAAAUAUUUUUUAAAUUAAAAUUGAAAAUAUUUUUUAAAAAUAAACUUAAUUUUUUUUGGGGGUGGGUGGGGGUAGGGGUGAUAUGGGGUAAAAAAAUAAAUAUUUGAAAUCAAAAAUAUAUUUUAAAAACAAACUUAAUUUUUUUUGGGGGGUGGGGGCUAGUAGGGNNNNNNNNNNNNNNNNNNNNNNNNNNNNNNNNNNNNNNNNNNNNNNNNNNNNNNNNNNNNNNNNNNNNNNNNNNNNNNNNNNNNNNNNNNNNNNNNNNNNNNNNNNNNNNNNNNNNNNNNNNNNNNNNNNNNNNNNNNNNNNNNNNNNNNNNNNNNNNNNNNNNNNNNNNNNNNNNNNNNNNNNNNNNNNNNNNNNNNNNNNNNNNNNNNNNNNNNNNNNNNNNNNNNNNNNNNNNNNNNNNNNNNNNNNNNNNNNNNNNNNNNNNNNNNNNNNNNNNNNNNNNNNNNNNNNNNNNNNNNNNNNNNNNNNNNNNNNNNNNNNNNNNNNNNNNNNNNNNNNNNNNNNNNNNNNNNNNNNNNNNNNNNNNNNNNNNUUGCGGGAGGGAGGGUCGGGUGAGGGUGGGUAAAAAAAUAAAAAAUUUGAAGUUGAUAAAUAUUUUUUAAAAAUAAGCUUUAAAUUUAUUUUUUUCAACAAAAAAAAAUUAAUUUGACGUUGGAGGAAAGUUUUGUAAAAUGUUUUCCUUAAGUUUUGAAGGGAAGCCAUUUUUCUUGAAUUUGAGGAAAUUAAGUUGAUUUGGAAAACAUUUUCCAAAAUAUUUUACCCAAUCAAACAUGAGAAAAAUUGGAAAAUGUUUUCCUUCAUACCAAACACACCCUUUGUUUCAGUUUUUUUUUGUCUUAAUUAUUUAAUUCAUUGUUUUUAAAAAAAAAACAUCACUUUUUCAUAAUUCUUUAAUUUUAACUUUUUCUAUAUUAUGCUUAAAAUCACAUGAUUUAGAAUAUUUUGGUACAUUCUAUAUAUUUUUAGUUUAAAAUCACAAGAUUCAAAAAAAAAUUAGUACUUUCUUACAUGUUAAAUAAAAUCGACAAAUAAAUUCACAUAAGAGAAGUAUUUAAUUAUUUUGAAUAUCGAAAGAUACUACCUCUGUCCCUAUUUACUUAUUGAAUUCUUCCUAAUUUGAUUUCCCCUUUUACUUGUCAUUUUUGACAAAUGAAGAAAGGACAAUUUUAUUUUUCCUAUUAUAUCCUUAAUUUAUUACCUUGACUCUCGAGUUAAUGUCUUUAAAAAAAAUAUAGUGAGGAAUAUGUUUAAAAUCCUAUAAAUUAAUAGGAGUAAAAUUGUAAACUAAAAAAAUAAAAAUCAUCAUUUUCUUAAUAAAUGAGUUAAGUUAAAAAAACUGACAAGUAAAAAAGGACGGAACGGAAGAGUAACAAAUUGGCUGGACACAGAGGCAGAGCUACGUGGGGGUUCAUGGGUUCGGACAAACUCAAUAGCUUUUCUGUAGACCCUACAUUUGUACUAAAAUAUUAAUUAAAUAUUUAUGUAAUAUUAAUUUGUGAACCCCUAACAAAAUUGACUGACGAUUAUUAACGAAAUUUAGAACUGCCAAACUCUUAAUCCUGACUUCGCCUCUGGCGGGACAGUGGAGGUUGGACAGAUAAACGAAGACUCAAUGAUUGGUGCGUUGAUAGACGUUAACGUGUCCCUACAAUUAUAUGUAGGAUCACAUUAAUUUAUUCUACUUUCGAAAUUACACUCACCCCCUCAACUUUUAUUUAUUUACAUUUUACUACUGUCUCUUCUAAAGAGUUUUUACAAGUGCUUCACUAAUUUCUUAUAAUAGGUUGAGCUAAUAUAAAAAAAAUGACUUAGCAUAGAGUUAACAUCAUGAUUUAAGUAAAUCAAUUAGGUUUGACUAAUGACUAAUUAUGAAGUAGAUAAAUUAAAAUUUUAAGAUUUUCAAGAAAAUUACAUUUAUCAAAAUAAUUAAUUGAGGGUAUAAUAGAUAAAAAAAAUUGUCUUUUCUUCGUUUGUCAAAAUGGAUAAGUAAAAAAGAACAAGUAAAAAAUGAAAAUUAAACAAGUAAUUAGGGACAUAGGGAGUAUUGCUAAGUCAUUUUCUUGACAUUGGCUUUCUAUAAAUUCUACCUGUUUUUGAGAGUGCAAUUUGAUGUUUUGAGGUUGACAUUUUCUUUCUUGUUACGUUGGUUUCUCAACUUAUUUAAAUAGAUUUAGUUACCGAUAUCUAUUUUUUAAAUUAUUUGAUUAUAUAAAUAUCUUUUAUCUCGCGUGACCCUUGUAGCUCUCAUGCAAAUAAAAGAAGUAUAGCACUAACAAAAACAAGAAUACGACGUAAACCAAAAAAAACCAACAAGAAUGCAACAUUAAAUCUAUCAAAAUUUACUUAACAAAUUUUAGAUGUGAUAGAAAAUUUACUACUUUCUCUGUUUCGAUAAUCUUCCGGUAAGAAUCUGUUUUACCUUAAAUAUAUUUGAGAAAAAAUUAAAAAAAAAUUUGGAAAUAUUGUUUGGUCAUACAAUUUUUGCCAUUAUUUUAUUUGCCAAAUGUCCCUAGUUCUAGAUAAUAGAAAAAACUAGUAUUUAGGCCAAGUUCUAAUAUUUAAAUUUUCUUAAAAAUUACUCCAAACUAUUUUAUUUUAUAAUCAUUUAUUAGUUUCAACUAACAUUUGUCUAUAAAAUUAUUCCAUUCAUAGCUAAUACUUAUUCCUCUUUGCUAUCUAUACAAAACAUUGUCAAAAAAGAACAAUUUAUUUUUAAUGAGUUAUAAUUCUUUCUGAAUCAGUCACAAAUUUGAAUAUGUGAUUAAUGUAUUGCUCUUGUUGAUUGUUAUCAAUUAUGUUAUAAAGUUAUUUUAUAACGGAAUAUAUUCAUUAUGAAAUGACAAUAAAAACUUAAAGGUAAUUUAAAUAAUUCUUAGAACUUAUUGGUAUAAAUCAUAUUUUUUGCAACAGUCGAAUACUUUUCUCAAAAUUUAUGGUCAAACAUGUGGUGAAAGUUCACCCAAAAAUGAUUUGCCAAAAAUAUUUGAAAAUUUAAGGGAAAAUGCUACCUUAAAACAUAUUAUGUGAAAAGUUAAAUAAAAAAAUUGCAAAAGAAAAAUGAUCUUUUUUUUAAUAAUAAACUAAAAGAAAAAAUAGGUUAAACAAAUGAAAACUAAGAGAGUAUUUCCUUUGGAGUACCUACUUUGGCAUUUCAAUCAAAUUUAUAUUUUUAAAUAAAUGGAGAAAAAAGAGAAGUAAAAAGCAAGUAUAUUAUUAUUAUUGAAAAGAUGUGGUAGCUCUAAACUUUUUUUUGGGGUCCAUGAAACAUCUUACAUCACACGUGAAAAAUAACGUGUCGGGGGUUUGUAAGAAAACAUUAAACAUCAUAUCAUCAUCAUCAUUUAUUAUUACUCCUCUAAAGUCUAUUUAAUUACUUGUCAUAAAAAUAAAUAAAUUAUGCCUAUUAAUACAAUGUUAUUAUCUCCGUUCACUUUUAAUUGUCGUAAUUUCCUUUUUAGAGUUAAAUUAUAAAAACUUUAAUUAACAUUUUAUGAUAUAUAUUUUUAUCAUAUUGAUAUGUAAAAAAUUGUAAUUUAUAGUACUUUUCGUAUAGUUAUUGAAUAUUUAAAUUUUUUGUUUAAAAUAUCGAAUUAAUGUAAUCUAAUUCAACUUUAAAAAUUAGUCAAAUUGACUUUCGAAAAGCGUAACACAGUGGACGAAGGGAGUAACAAAAAUAAUCACUUGAAAGUAUUUUUAUUUAAUGUUUGAUUUUGAUUAGUAUGUUUUCAUCGUAUAUGUUUAUUGAAUAAGAGUAAAAACAAAAUAAACAAUCAAUUAAAUCUUUGCUUUAAAAGAUGAGAAUUAUUGCGUCCAUUUUAUUUUACUUAACUUAUAUAGACUUGAUAUUCCUGUUAAAAAAAUAUUUGUUAUGGAUUUAUUUCACAAAAAUUAACCUCAUCAAUUAUGCUUUAAAAAUUUGAAUUUGACUACUAAUAAUUUAUACAAUUAUUUAUGAUAAAGGUAAUAUUAGAAGUAAAUAAUAAAUUUCUCUAAAUUUGCUAUGCUGAACAAGUAAUGAAAUUUUUCAAUUUUAAUUAUAAAAGCCAAGUAAAAUGAAACAAAAGGAGAAAUUGACGAAAAUAUUUAGUUUAUUUAAUAAAAAGAUUAAAGAUAAAUAAACCAACAAUAUUGAUCUAAUGAAGUUAUCUCUCGGGUCACAUUAUUGAUUAUUAGUGUCAACUAGCUCGUGAUUUUUUUUAAUAACUCUAAAAACUGUCAAUUACGACGUUUAUAUAUCUUUAUUAAGUUUUGUUGGGUUUUAAAGGUGUGAACAGGAAAUGAAGGGUUGUGACCUUUAUGAAAGGUUGUGUCCUUUCUAAAGGGUUGUGACCGUUUGAAAGGUUAUGCCUUUUCCAAAGUGUUGUGACCUUUCUGAAAGACUGUUUUCUUUUUGAAAGGUUGUCUUCUUUCCAAAGUGUUAUGACCUUUACCCUUUGUUGACUAUAAAUAGCAAAGGGUUGUGACCUUUACCCUUUGUUGGCUAUAAAUAGAGAAGUUUUCUCUCAUUUUUUUGCAUCGAAUUCUUCCCUUCUUUUGCAUAUAUUUCUUACAAAACAAAAUCGAUCGAUCGUGUCUGUGUGUGUGAUUCGUUGUUGUCAUUUUGAGUUCGUUGAAAUUAUCGAAGUUUGAGGUACCACUACUUCUUUAAUGGUUAAUCCGUUUUAUCUUGGGAGGAAUUAAUCUGCAACCUCGGGUACUUGAGGGGAUUAAAUUUCUUAAGGACACACAGUGGGUUCUGUGGACUCGGAUAGUUCUUUGUGUUUUUCUUUUCAUCUUUUAUUAUUUCUAGUUUGCUAAUCUGAAUACAAGAGAUAACAAGUUCCACUUAAUUCCCAUCUAUAAUAUUUAAAAUGAAAAAGAACGUUUUUGACAAAUACUGUGAAUAAUUUUCAAGCAAAGAGUUUUUUUUUAUUCCUUUUCGAUCCAGAGAUUGUUAUCUCUUAUAACCUUGCUUAAACCCAACAAAGAUAUACUACGAAAUGGAACAUUUGGACUAUAAAAAAAAUCCAAUGAAAUUAAAGUUAUCGUUAAGCACGGAAAUUCGAGAAAUUGUUUCAUACGUAUAAUUUAUGUCAUACUUUAAAAUUUGUAUUUCUUGAUCAAAUAAGUUCAUGCAUGGUCAAUAUAUUUUAGUCAUAUACUCAUAUUCAUAUAUAGAAGCUGUAAUACAGCGAGGAGAAUCUUUAUUUGCUUCGUGAUAAGAUACGAAACCAUGAUUGAAAUAAAGAUAUCUAAAUACUUGUUCUAUCGAUAUCUUAUUUAAUAUGUCUAGAUUAAAUUAAUUUCCAUUUGUUAUUUCUAUAGCUAGCUGUUUAAUUAAUAUUUUAGUAUACGUAUAAUUAGCAAGGCUGGACCCAACAUCUUUAAUAGAGUGUGAUAUUUAUUCACAAGCUUAAUUUGUUGAAGUAUUAGGUAGAUAAUAUACAAAAUAUUUAUAUAAUAAUGUCAUUGGAGUCAAAUUGAUGGAAAAUUUAUAUCUUCAGUCGGUGUAGACUCCAAAUUAGAUAUCUUGAUUUAUCAUCACUAUAAUAUCAAUUUAUCGUUAGUUCAUUACUAAAUUGUUCUUUGUUUGUCACUAAUAUAUUUUCUCGAUAAUCCAUCAAUGAUGUUUCAAUAUCUUGAUUAAAGUAAAUUUAACUAUUUAAUCAAAAAUGAUAUUUAGCGGCAAUAGUUUAAUUGUCAUUAAAUAUAUUUUUUUAGCAGCAAUUAGUACUCUUUGUAAAUGUCUUAAAAGCCUAUAGCGAUAUUGAAUCUAAUGACAAUUAACUAAUGUUGGUAAAGACUUUAACACUCUUUGUUACUGUGUAUAUUUAUUACCGCUAAAAAAUAUUUUUAUUACAGUAAACAAUGAAGAUAAGUUGAUUAAUUAACAAAUUAUUAUUAUUUCGCAAAUUUGAGGCAGUACUUGUAAAAUAGGACAAUAUAAUGGGUACUUUUUUUGGUUUUCCACCCGGUGUCCGGAGCCCACAUUGGAGCUCUGACUAAAUUCGGAUCACGCUCUGCAGGGCCUAUUCGGGGGUGACUCUCCCAACAAGAUUUUCUCCAUACUCAGGGCUCGAAUAUAAUGAGUACUUUUUUUGGUUUUCCACCCGGUGUCCGAAGCCCACAUUGGAGCUCUGACUAAAUUCGGAUCACGCUCUGCAGGGCCUAUUCGGGGGUGACGCUCCCAACAAGAUUUCUCCAUACCCAGGGCUCGAAUAUAAUGAGUACUUUUUUUGAAUGUCUUAAAAGCCUAUAGCGAUAUUGAAUCUAAUGACAAUUAACUAAUGUUGGUAAAGACUUUAACACUCUUUGUUACUGUGUAUAUUUAUUACCGCUAAAAAAUAUUUUUAUUACAGUAAACAAUGAAGAUAAGUUGAUUAAUUAACAAAUUAUUAUUAUUUCGCAAAUUUGAGGCAGUACUUGUAAAAUAGGACAAUAUAAUGGGUACUUUUUUUGGUUUUCCACCCGGUGUCCGGAGCCCACAUUGGAGCUCUGACUAAAUUCGGAUCACGCUCUGCAGGGCCUAUUCGGGGGUGACACUCCCAACAGAUUUUCUCAUACCCAGGGCUCGAAUAUAAUGGGUACUUGUUUGUUUGCUUUUACGUCUAUAUCUCUGAUAAUAAAUAAUAAUGUCAAAAGUUUAUUUUAGAUAGGGACCAAUCAUAAGGCAACUGCACCAACUUGUUUGAAAUAUAUAUAUAUACUUUUAAGAAGUAGCUCCCAUCUUCUCCAUAUAAUUUUUCCCCAAAGUUUAAUUUCUUUUUUGGGGUUUUUCCCAACUAGUGGUGAGAGAGCUGCAUCAUAUAUUUAUUUCUACUUAAUAUAUAUAGGUCUUAUACUACAACAUUAUUCAUCUUUGGGUGGACCCUUUUAGCCUUCCUACCACAAUAUAUAGAUAGAGAUAUUACAAAGAACAUAUCUUUUUUAAUAUAAGUGUAAAAUAUGUAGGUCAAUCGAAUUGUAUUGUCAUAGCUUUGGACCACAAUAUGAGUAGAGUCAUGAGACAAUCUUUUUUUUUAUAAAUAUUGCUUUUCGAUGGUAUUUACAUAGUGUUUAGACAUUUUAUUUGUUUAUUUGUUUGUAUUUCUCUGAUUAGAAAGAUUUCUCAAAGGCAAACAAACACAAGUAAAAGUUGAAAACAUGAUAGAGAGCCUAGCGCGCUCUAUGUACACUAAUUUCAUUCAUUAUUGUUAAAUCUAGUAAGAAAACAUGUUAUAUCAUAUUAUAUAAAAACAUGUUUUACACUAUCAGAUUAUAAACUCUAAUUAACUCAAAAGGGGAAAAAGAGGGACCAGACUAAUUAGUUGAAGAUUAAAAUAAAUAACAUCAGUAGCUGUAGGUUGUACGUGUGACUUAUCGAAUAGGACGUAUAUAGUCUAUGGUCCGCAUAUAUAAUAUUGAAAUGAGACAUUUCAUUGCUCCAAUUAUUAUAAUUAGAAAAUAAUCUAUCUAUCUAUCUAUAUUCUAUAUUACCUUAAAAGCAUGAACUCCUAACUUGAAUGUUAAAUUACUAUAAUAUUUCUAAUUUAAAACACCCAUCUAUAUUUAUAUGAAUAUCAUAUGUUCUCUUAUGAAAGGUUGUUACUUUUUCGAUGAGUUGUAACUUUUCUGAUAAGUUGUGACUUUUUUCAAAGGGUUGUUAUUUUUCGUAUGAGUUGUGACUUUUUCAAUAAGUUGUAACUUUUUCCCAAAAUGGUUGUGAUUUCUCGGACAGGUCAUGACUUUUCAGAUAAGACACAAAAAACACUUGUUCAUACUACCAUUUGUUGACUAUAAAUAAGGGGGCUUCCUCUCAUUUUUAAUACACAAUUUUUUAAAAUCUUCUACUCUUCUUCUUCUUCUUGUAUUUUAAAAUCUUUCAUGUGAUUUAUUGUCGUUUAAUAUGUUCGAAGUUUAGUGGAAUAUGAGGUACCACUAUUCUGAUGAAGUAAAUCGUUCUAUCCUGAGAGGAUAUAUUCCAUAACCUUGAGUACUUGAGGAAAAUAUUUUUUGAUGAUACAAUAAUUAUUUUUUUGCUUAAUAUCUACAGUAGUAUGUAAUGUUCCAAUAUAUGAAGUUAACAUGAUGUAGUCUAAAUUCAUUUGUUUUUUUUAACAAUUUCUCUUGUGAUGCAGAUAUAUGCUUCUGAAUAUCUUUUUUCCAAAAUAAUUUAAAUUCUCAAGAGUUAGAUAAUUGUCACGAUUUGUUUUGUUGACGCUCAAGAUAUAAGAAUGACUUUAUUUAUCAAUGCUACUUAUGUGAUUUAAAUUGUCACGAAGUUUGCUUCAAAAUAGUUAUUGUCAACUCCUAACUUGAAUGUUAAAUUACUAUAAUAUCUCUAACUUAGGUUGUGACUUUUUCAAUGAGUUGUGACUUUUUCGAUAAGUUGUCACUUUUUUCAAAGGGUUGUGAUUUUUUCGAUGAGUUGUGAUUUUUCCAAAGAGUUGUGAAUUUUUCAAUAAGUUGUGACUUUUCUAAAGAAUUGUGACUUUUUCAAAGAGUUGUGACUUCUCUGAAAGGUCAUUACUUUUCAGAUAAGACACAAAAAACAUUUGUUCAUACUACCCUUUGUUGAAUAUAAAUAGAGGGGAUUCCUCUCAUUUUUCAACCACAAUUUUUUAAUCUUCUACUCUUCUUCAUCUUGCAUUUUAAAUAAUUUUGUCUGAUUUAUUGUCGUUGUGUGAGUUCACAGUGUAGUGAAAUAUGAGGUACCACUGAUGAAGUAAUUUAUUCUAUCCUAAGAGGGUAUAUUCAUUAACCUCGAGUACUUGAGGAAAAUAUUUUUUAUGAUAUAAUAAUUAUUGUUUUGCUUGAUAUAUACAUUAGUAUGUUAUGUUCCAAUAUACGAAGUUAACAUGAUUGGAGUCUAAAUUCAUUUUUUUUGUUAACAAUUUCUCUUGUGAUGUAGAUAUAUAAUAUUUCUGAAUAUCUUUUUCCAAAAUUUAGAGAAUUGACACAAUUUGUUUUUGAUGCUCAAGACAAAAUAAUGAAUUUAUUUAUCAAUGCUACUUAUGUGAUUUAGACUCUCAGGAAGUUUGCUUCAAAAUAGUUAUUACUAUGUAAACAUUGCCCUUUUGUNNNNNNNNNNNNNNNNNNNNNNNNNNNNNNNNNNNNNNNNNNNNNNNNNNNNNNNNNNNNNNNNNNNNNNNNNNNNNNNNNNNNNNNNNNNNNNNNNNNNNNNNNNNNNNNNNNNNNNNNNNNNNNNNNNNNNNNNNNNNNNNNNNNNNNNNNNNNNNNNNNNNNNNNNNUCAUUAAUGCAAAUAUAUAUUUAUAUUUGGGUAGGUAUUUGUAUUUAAAUUAAAGUAUUAUAUACGUUACAAAUGUAUUAUCAAGUUAACAAGAUCUUCUAACUUCAAAAUAUAUUAUUUUAAAAUGUUUCGAGUGCUUUUUUUUUUUGAAAAAAAAAAACUCACAUCAAAUGUUAAAACAUGUGAAUAUAUAAAAUAUAGUUGUUCUCUUCACAUGUUCAUUUGACAUCUAAACAAUUUAACGGGAAAUACACAUGCAAAGCACAUCUGUUAGAUGACAAGAAAAAUACAAAACAAAUAAUGUAAUAUUAGUGAGAUAAAACUAAUUACAUGAUUGAACUUCAUCAAAUUGAAAUAAAUAUAUAUAUUAUUGCAUUUAACUAAUAAAUUUUUUCAUUGACCAUCUUCAUAGGUUUGCGUGAAAAAGAGAUAUAUAUGACGAUCCACAUUGAACAUUCACAAAAGAAUCUGCAAUAUUAUUUUUUACUAAGCUUAUUAAUCAAAUCUUCGCUAUAAUAAGCAAUACUAUAUUUACUAUAACAUAUAUUUUUGGAAUUGGCAAUCACGUGCAACGCAUGUGUCAAAAAACUAGUAAAAUAUAAAAGAUACAAACUAGUAUUUUAAGCAUACAUGUAAGUUUUAAAUUUUACUUCUUUUAAGUAGAGAGUUCUAAAUCAAUAUUUUUUAAAUAUAUUUUUUAAUAAUUUUAAAAUUAUAAAUAUUAAUAAAUUCCGUGUAACCCAAGGUUAGCUCCGCUCUCGAUUUCUUGUGAGAAUCGACAUGGUUUUAUCUUUAUGAUGAACAAUGAGACUUUUUGUGCGAAGAAAAUUAUGUACAUAAUAAAUAUCACACGUGAUAGAUGUUUGAAAUAAAUAGACAUGCAUCAUGUUUGUGGAGGCUUAACCCACCCCCUUAUAAAUUGAUCCACAUGAUAAAUGUAGUGAUAGUUUAGAUAAAUAGUGAUCAUUUAAAUAAAUAAAGAGAAUAGUAAAUAGAUAAAAUAUAAAAUUCGUAACAAGUAAUAAUUUAAAUUUGAUUUUAACAGCUCUUAUUUCUCUACUCUAAGCUUUUCGUGUAAGUGCUACGCGGUAUAUGGGUUUUUAGUCCUAAUAUGGGAAAGGGAAAUCUAUGAAUAAAGUAGUAGUUACGGGAAAGGUGGAAUGGUGGACCCUCAUCAAUCGAUAAUGCUCUUCAAAUUGUCAAAUUUGGAUUAAUUGAAACACGUGAAAAUGUUAAAUAAAAAAUUAUGAAUUAAAACAAGUCAUCUCAAAAUAAGUUAUUUCACUAUAUAUAUGUCGUAACUUAUUCAAUCACCAAAGUAUAAAUGGUGGAACAAAUAUACAAUAAUCCAAGGAUUACCUAAUACUUCCAACCAAACGCAAUAUCUUAAAAAUUAUUAUACCUUAUACCUCACACAAAACAACUCCUAAACGUCAUUGAUUAGACAAAGAUGGAAAUUGAAGGUUUUCUUCUCAAGGCACUACAAUUACAACUUUUGACUUAAUUGAAUGGCAGAAAAUUUAUGAAGGCUUUUGAGGCCAUGGUAUAAAGAUAAAACUAACCCCUGUUUGAAGUUAUUGAUUGUAAUAAUUUGACAAGAUGUAUCCUCACUAAUUAAUCAACUUAUGAGCAUCAUUAUGUCUACUAAUAACUUAAUUACUGCACACAAUUCAUUCUCCUUCUUUUAAUCUACAUUCUACGCUAUGAUUCAGUUAUGAUCAUGACUCUAAAGAAUCUUUUGUGGUUGGUCGAUCCAACCUGAUUUCCCCAAAUUUUCUUAAAUUAAAAUCUGUAUGAGCGAGUUAAGAUUCAAGUAACUUUAAUUUGCUCAUUGAAUCUUAGCCAAACAUAAAGAAUUUACCUUGUAUUUUCUUGUCUUUAUCUUUUGUUUUAUUGAGCACUAAAUCACAUUCCAGGAGAAAAAAAAUAGUUUAUUAAUUUGGAAAAAUAUAGUGAACAAAAAUGGGUGAGUCAAGUUAAGUAAUUAAAUACUAGUAAUCUAUAUUCUUAUAAUAUUAAAAUCAUAGAUAUCAAAACAGGAUAGGCAAAAAUAUUCCCAAAAUAUUACUAAUCAUCUUUUAUAUCCUUUGAGGACUAAAUUAUAUUUUUUAAAGAAAUAACUUCACAUCGAACAAAACGGUAAUAUUUUGGUGUAAUAUUGGUGAAAUGGAAGAUUUUAAAUUAUGCGAUGUCUUUGGUUAAAAUUCAUACUCUUCACAUCUCCAUUAUUAGAUAAAAUUAUCUUUAGAAUAAAAUGCACAGAUCACAAAAAAAAAGGUAAUAGAAUAUCAUAUUUAUGAUGAAUAUAAUUCUAAUUUUAUAUAAACUUUAAUUUCUACACAAUAACAGUAACAUAAACUAAAUAGAUUCACCGUAAAAUUUAUAAUACUAUAAUUUUAGGAAUUUCUUUAAAAAUAAAAACUUGUCGUAGGAAUACAAUUUUUCCUUAUCAAAAAAGAAAAGACAAAUACAUCUAUAUGUUUUACUAGAUAUGUCUAUUAUCGUGCUAGAUUAUAUUUUAAACCAAACAUAUUUCUAUGUUAUAAAAUUUGUAAUAUUUGGAACUCUACCUUAUAUAGGAAUUUGAAUAUAUUUUAGUUCCUUUAAAUUUUGGGAUUUGAAAAAGAAAAAGCACAAUUGAAACAAAUUCCAAGUUGGCAUCAAAGAAGGAAUACAUAAAUGUAGUUAAAACAAAUAUCAUUUUAUCUAAAAAUGAAAUAAAAAAUAAUUGCAAAGUUGUAAAAUCAUUAUCCCAGCAGAAAAUAUGUAUUUAGAUAAAAAAUAAGGGAGUUGUAGAGAAAUUCUUUUUACAAAUUUUGCGUCGAAAAAGAAAAGGCAUGCAUUUGGAGUAAUUUCAGCUCAAAAUCUUUAAAUGAAUUAUAUUAGUUUUGUCACUCCUAAAUUUAGGUGUAUUUGAUGAACGCUUAAUUUUAUUUUCAUCAAUUAAAUUUCGCAUUUAGGAAUAAUUGAAUACUUAAAAAAAUUGUAGACAAGUUUUAUCUCUUGCGAAGAUAAAAUUUAAAUAGCGAUAUCUAAAGGAGCCAUUAGUUAUAAUAUUUUUAACUAAUUAUAGCUUGUCUUCUUUGUCAGAAAAGCAAAAUAUGACAAGUUCGUAUUAAUAAUGAUUCUUUUUUAUAUUAUCAGUAUGCUUCAACUUGUUUAUUGCAGGUUAUUUGAUAUUGUUUCAAGUUACUAGAUUGUGCUUAUUUUUAAUAGUCACCUAUGAUCGCAAGUAAUUUAAUUUGAUAGUGUAAAAAAUUAAUAACUUGAAGAAAAUUUAAAACUCCGAAAAGGGAAAAAACAAGUCAAAAUGGGUCGAAAAGAAUCAUACGGGUUGGAUUGGAUUGGGCUGGGUUAACUAGUUGCCACCAGUCAGGCCCAGACUUUAUAUUAGUUAUUUAUGGUAUCCUAUUUAUGUCAUUUUGUUAGACCAAGUCCAAACGAAUUAAUAUUAGGCCCAUUAGGAAAAGUUCUACAAAACAUUUCCAAAAUUGAAUUAAUUUUAGGCCCAUUACAACCAUCAUCAAUUACUACGGUCAGUUGCUAUCAUCUUAGUUAUUACAAUUAUAUUCAAUGUUACCAUCACAAUCGCCAUGAUGACAUCGUCACCUCCAUUAUUACUGCUAGUCACUACAAUUAGUCCAACAAAUCUCUAUUACUAACCAUUUUCACCAUCACAACUAGCACGAUUGUCAACUAUCACCAACAACAUUACAAAUUCUUCAGUCAUUACCAUCAACACUGUUAAUUACUAACAUCGACCUGUCAUUAUCAUGCUAAAUCACUUUAUACCAAUAAUUUUCACCGUCACAACUGUCACCACCAUCAUUACUAAUUGCAAUUACCAAUUGUUACCACUAUCACUUUUACAAACCAUCUUCACCAUCACUAACGAACACAAUUUUUAAUGAUUUACUUUAUUAAAUUUAUAUUCUUCGAAUAUCUAAUUACUUUUUCAUUUUAAUUAUAUAUUAUUGUGUUUAAAAAUACAUUGCAUAUACAGAUGUUGAAAAACAUAUAGUUUUAAUCAUUUAGCGUUAAGAUUUAUCGAUAAUAUCUUAAUUAUUCAACUGUGCAUUAUUUUAAAGUUAUAAUUUUAAAGAAAUUAAAUGAAGUCUUACUCUCUUACUUGUUUUUUGCACACCUUAUCCUUAUUUAUUUAUAUCAAUUUAAUACUGUUUUUUUAUUACAUUAAUCAUUCUUUCACACAUUUAUUAAAUUAAUAAUAAAGCCAGAACACAUAAUUUAGUAGAUGGACUACUUGCACAUGAAUUUAGUAGAGAUAAUUUUUUUAGGAGAUAAAUUACGCUACUUGUAAAAUUAUAUGUAUGAUUUACAAAGGAUAAUAGUAGAAAAAAUACGAUUUAAAUUAUGUCCAUAAAUGUUGUUGACACCCAAUUUUGACCCUCCACAAUUUAAUUAAUUUUCAAGCUUCUUAAAUUGCAAACAUAUUGAAGUAAUUGUUUUGGAAAAAAUAAAAAAAUACUUGUGAAAUCAUUUUCAAGGCAAUUUUCCAUUUUUACUAUAAAAUAUAUCUCUAUAUACUUAAAAUAUAUAGAUUUAUAUAAUUCUUUCAAUUUGAAUAAAUAGUUAGUAAAUCGUUUUACCAAAAAUAGAGUUUUAAGUAAGUACGCAUAUUAUUUCCUUUAAAACUGAUGGCGAUUUAAUAAAGAUCUUUCUUUUCAAAAUAAUUAUUUUGUAUUGUUGAAAUUAAGAAGUUUGAGUAAUUAGUUGAGUCUAUAAUUUGUCUCAUUUCCAUUUUAUCAAGUUUGAAUUAAUUGAAGAAUUUGGUUUUGAUAAAAAUAAACCAAUGGAUCAAGUCCCUUCAGCCUUUUUAAUUUCCUACAUACGCCCAAUUUAAAAAAAUAAUCCGGCCCACUUCUUCUCCUAAUACCCAGUACUCUGUACUCUUCUCCCUCACGUACGCACAUAGUGUAUUAUGUUUGUUGCUUUGUUGAUGGCUGUUAAUUUAGAGAUGUGAAUGUGAUUCUUUUACUUAGUCGAAUUCAUAUAUCUAGAUAUGUGCUUUAGUUAUUGUUAUUCUUAUUCGAUUUUGAAAUCCAUGUUAAUAUAGUUGCCGAUUUCUCUUCGUUGCCUUCUUAAAGAUAUAAGUUGUAUAUUCUGUCACUUCGAGUUUGUUUGGACUUAAAAUGUUACGUUAAGCUUCGCUGCUCCUAAAAUGUGUUUUCGGCUAAAUUCUUGUAUAUUUUGAAACAACCAAAUUGCUGUUACUCCGGCUAGUUUUUCUUUAUUAUCGUAGCAUGUUUGCUUGGAUCUCAGUUUUGGUGCAGUUGACUGUCGUUCUUGUGAUUAAAAGUUAUUCUAGCUCGAGUUGAAGCUUUUUUCCUUUCUUUCUCUCGAGUAUGGACUUGUUUGUUACUUCCAAAUAAAAUAGAUAUAGUCAUUUGAUUUAAGUGUAUAAUUUUCUGAAGUAUGUUCUGUCAUGUGUGAAAUUUGACUAUUACCAUUGAAUUCUUGGUUCCUUUUUCCUGCAUUAAUCGUUUGUUUAUGAAUUUGGAAUAUGAGUUCUCGAUUUUCUGUAUGCUUUCGUUCAUAACCUGUCGUAAUAGCUACUUGUAGUUUUCUUAAGAACUAGGAAUGAUUUAUAUUUGUUCUUAUGUCUGAGAAUUCAUAUUACUUUUUCUUCCAACAGUUUUAUUGUUUCCAGGAGCGUAUUUACCUGGCCAAAGGUCUCUUGUGUUUACUAAAUUUUUUGACUUAAUCUUUUGUUUCUCUGUUUGCUGUUGUAAAUUUUAAAAGUUACAACGAAUUGUUAAAUUGUCCCAUUCCUUGUCUACUUGCUGAUUUUCUGUUUUUCUUAAAUCCGUGACUAAAAGUUAUGUUUAUGUCUUUUCUUAGUUUGAACGUGAAAAAAAUAUGUUAUGAUUGGAAAUUAAUUGCCUUCUCUGUUUCUGUUGGCUUUCUCUUGUAUUGGAUAGACUUAAGUUAUAUUUUUAAUUGUUGUGCCCCUCUUCGAUUAGUUACUAAUUCUUAUCCUUUGUUUUCAUACGCAUGAAUUCUCUCCCAUUUGAGUCCAUUGGACUCCAUCAUCUUUUGCAUAUUCAUCUCUUCGGGUUUUUUUUCAAGUCGUAAAAGGGAAGCCAAUAUUAUCGAAUUAAAUUUCAAACCUGGCAGCAGCUCAGUAGAGGAGUAAUAACAAUCCUAAAGGGCUGAAAUUCAAAUUUUGGACUCUCAAAAGUCCACUAAAAACAGCAGCAGCAGCCUCAAAAGGCUGAAAAAUGAGGAGCAAAAUUGGGUUAAAACCCAUAAUUAUUGAGGCCGAGUUGCAGCAGUUUCAAAGGGCUGAAAAUAGCAUUUUUUUCGGACUUAAAAAGUUCGAAAAUAGCGCCAGCAACAGCAGCCUCAAAAGGCAGAAAAAUGAGAUGCAGCAAGUGGACUUAAAGUUGUCCCAAUUCUAUUAGCACUUUGUCUCCUAUCAUAUUGUGAUUUUGUGAUAUUUGCUUUUAAGUUCUAACAUUUAUUUUAUCUAACUUAGAUGAAUCCUUGGAAGUUUUUAAAUAACUCUUCUAUUUGGUUUGUUGUUUACUUUAAGUAUUUAAAUUUUCAAAACUCUUUCAAGUUAGGCAACUUAAGCUCUUAGACUAACUUGAGAAUUAUUCAUAUUCUUUCAUAGUUAGUAAUUAGCUUUGAAUCCACGUUGAUGAGAUUGAGCUAACCAUUUAGUUCAAAAUCUUAACUCGGAUAAAAUGUUAAGUUAAAAUUAUUGUUUUGACACUUUAGCAUUUGAUUUAUUUCAUUACUUGGAAUAAGAAAUAAAAUUAGACUAGUAUAAGUAUCAAAAGACUUUUGUUAUUUUAAAACAAGAUUUUUCACAAGUAAUCUUAAAUUAGCCAAACUUUUCAAUCCGUCGGUCAACCGCGUGUUAGCGGAUUCUCUAAGAUGCCUAAACCCUUCUUAGAGAAUUAUUUGAACCAUUACCUGACUCUGGUUUAUUUAAAAUGUUUUUCCUAAAAAUUAAGUGGCGACUUUCAAAUUAUAAUUUUUUCAAAACUUAACAAAACUGCCAAAGUUGCGAAAAUGGUUUCGAAAUCUUAAUUUUUGAAACCGGGUCGUAAUAAAUGUUUUAUUAAUAAGUGUGCAUUAUUUCAAAAAUUCAAUUAAUAUGAAAUAGAGGGAGUAAUAUUUUUAUAGAAAAAUUUAAUAGCCUAAAACAUGUCAUUAGAAAAUUUAAAAUUAAACAACAUAAAAAAAUAGACAUUAGUAGUAUUUAUAAGUUACUAAAAAAAGAAAGACAACUAUAUGAAAACACGGAAAAAGUUAACAAAAAGAUUUCAGUUUUUUCGUUUCCGACUAUAACAAGGAUUUGGAGCUUUUUUCCUAUAAAAAGCGACUCCCUCUAUUCUCUCUUUUGUAUUUCUAAAAUUUACGAAAGAUUUCUAUAAGUUAACAAACUUUACCAGUUUACAGCAAUCGCAAUGGAUUCUUCAGUCGUGGAGGGCGGCGCGUCGCUCCGUUCGCCAGGUACCGACGCUACAAACCGCCGUGUUUCUUAUUUCUUCGACUCUUCCAUCGGCGAGUAUUAUUACGGCCAGGGUCAUCUAAUGAAGCCUCACCGUAUUCGUGUUGCCCACAAUCUUAUUUUAAACUAUAAUCUUCACCGUAAGAUGGAGAUAAUUCAACCGUUUCCGGCGACUAAGGAGGAAAUCGGAUGGUUCCACUCGUCGGACUAUGUGGAGUUUCUCUCUUCAGUUUCUCCGGAGAUUGUUAAUGAUAAGUACGAUUCCUACCAACGUAGACGCUUCAAUGUCGGUUCGGACUCGGAAAGCUUUGACUGCCCUCUUUUUUAUGGUCUUUUUGAUUUUUGUCAAACUUCAGCUGGUGGCUCAAUUGGCGCCGCCGCUAAGCUUAAUCGGAAUGAAGCUGAUAUAGCUAUCAAUUGGGCUGGUGGGUUGCAUCAUGCAAAGAAAAGUGAAGCUUCUGGAUUUUGCUAUGUCAAUGAUAUUGUUCUUGGAAUUCUAGAACUUCUCAAGGUCCACAAGGUAAAUACUAUAUACUCUGUUUUUAUUACUGUAAAUAUUUUCAUGAGUAUUCAUGUUAGCUCUGUUUUUCUCUGUUUCGCUUAUAUUAUUUGUUCCGCAAGUAAUAUAUCAAAGGCUGUUUUUUCCCUUGAAAAAGUCGAGCUAUUUGUGUGUUAUUGAGAACUGUUGCUUACUUGAUCGAAGGCUAGGCUCUAUUUGUUCUUAGGUGUGUGGCUUUUUUUUGUUCAUAUUGUUGUUGAGUCUGACUUGGAUUGGCGUUGAUGUAUAUUAAAAAACGAAAUUUUGAAUGUGCUUCUAUCAUUUGAGUUUGUAAGCAAUAUGUUAAUAAUGGUCUUGAGGAUGUAGAAAAGGAUUAUAGACCGGAAGACAUUGUCGAUUUCAGUAUAAUUUAAUGUAUUGUUGUCUGUAAAGAAGUAUUACUAUAUUAUUUUCUGAUAUUUUGUUGAUUAGGUCAUACUUAAUUGGAUGGACCUAGUAAUUUGGAGUCCAAAAUACUUAAAAAUCGUUACUUAGUUGAUCGCUGAUAUGAUUUCAAUAAUUGUUGUUAAUUGUGUAUAAGUGUGAUUUGUAGGCCAUAGCUGGAUAACAUCUUUUGCCUUUGCCAGGAGAACUGCUUGUUACAAACUAUUGUUUCUUUAACAUGCUCAUUGUUGUUGUGCAGCGUGUAUUGUAUGUAGACAUUGAUGUUCAUCAUGGGGAUGGAGUUGAGGAGGCUUUUUACACCACUGAUCGGGUUAUGACAGUGUCUUUUCAUAAGUUUGGAGACUUCUUUCCUGGUACAGGGCAUGUCAAAGACAUUGGUGCAAGUACCGGGAAGUACUAUGCCUUAAAUGCACCAUUGAAUAAUGGUAUUGAUGAUGAAAGUUUCCGUAGUCUAUUCCGUCCUGUAAUCCAAAAAGUGAUGGAGGUUUAUCAACCUGAAGCUGUUGUUCUUCAAUGUGGUGCUGAUUCACUAGCCGGAGACAGGCUGGGUGUCUUUAACUUGUCUGUCAAAGGCCAUGCAGAUUGCAUUCGAUUCCUCAGGUCUUUCAAUGUCCCUUUAAUGAUGUUGGGUGGUGGAGGUUAUACUGUUAAAAAUGUUGCUCGGUGCUGGUGCUAUGAGGUGAAUCUCUUUAAUCUCUAUUUCUCCGUUUUGGUGCUUUUUCCUGUCUAUGCAUUUUCACCUAUUACCUUUUACUUGUCUUAUAAGUUGUUGUGCUAAGUUUGAACUUCUUCAAUGUUUACAGACAGCAGUUGCAGUUGGAGUAGAGCCUGAUAAUGAUUUGCCUUACAGUGAGUUUUACGAGUAUUUUGCCCCUGAUUAUAUUCUAUAUCAUGAAUCAUUACCCAUGAAGAAUGAGAAUUCUCCCUCGGAACUAGAGAGGAUCAGGUAAUCUGAACAUCAUUCUUUUAGGGCUUGCUUUUAGUGAACUGUCAGAAAAUACUAUCUAAUAAUGUUCGAAUCUUUGUGAAGCAUUAGCGAGUGUGAGAUGAUGUUAUUUAACAUGAAUAAUUGGUGGGUGCAGGAACACUUUGCUGGAGCAACUCUCGCAUUUACCCCAUGUACCUAGUGUUCCAUUUCAAGUGACACCUUCCGUAACAGAAGUUCCAGAAAAGGUCAGCACUAGUUUAUCUUCAAGAUCAUUUGAGUUUCUAUGUAUAUUAUCCAACCUGAUCCUCAUUUAACAAUUUAUGUAUCCAGGAAGACGAAAAUAUGGAUCAAAGGCCUAAGCCAGGGAUACAGAUGAGCCAGGAUUACGAUACUGAUGACGAGGAGAAGUCAAAUAACGGAAAGUUCAGUAAUUACUACAAUUACUUCAACAAUGAGAACUGACAUGAGGUAAGGCCUUCAAGUUAUCUUCUACACACACUUGAAACAACCAUCCCAUGCCUGCUAAUUCGAACCUAAAUCUCUUUUUUGUUUCUUUUGGAACCCAUAUGGGGAAACCUGCAGCCACCACUGUUUGGGUGCGCACUGAGUGAAUCCGCUCCUCCUAUUUUCCUAUGAAGUUUUAGUUCCCUUAGAAAUUGCAGUAUAAUUUGCUUUGCUUGAAACUGAAUUGUGGUGUGGUUUGUAAUGCAGGUUACUUUCAAUACAAAGUCAAAAAUGAGGACAUGAUUUGAUUGGAGGCCUCUGAGACUAAGCUGUUCAACAUGUGUCUAUUAACAAAUUUUCUGUUUAGUUUGGAUGAGAAAUGAUAGAAACUCAUAGUAAGAUGUUAUUUGUAGUGAUGUAAUUAUAAUAUACAUUAUAACUUUGUUUAUUUGGUGAAUAGAGAUAUGAGCAUAUACUUAAGUUAUUCGAGAAAAUGAGCAACAUACUCGUUUACCAUUUCAAUAAAAGAAAAUAAUAAUAUCUGGUGUGUUAUUUACAAAUUUCUUAUGUUUUAAAAUAAAAAUUCUAGUAUUUUCUUUUUAGAUGCAAUUAAAAGUAAAUAAAGUUAUAAUGGUACAAAAUCACUCUAUGUAGCCCACAAGAUCUAUGAGUAAUUUCCUUGGAUAGUCACUCAUGUUUGGAAAUUACCUAGGAAUAUCACUUAUGUUUGUUUUAGGACCACAAUAUCACCCAACUUUAUCUCUUUUUCUCAAAAUAUACUUGACAAAAAAAAAACACUAUCUCUCUCCUAAUAGGAUGCCAUGACACAUUAUUCUUUUUUUAUUAUUAACAUUUUUUUAAAAAAAUUUAGACAACCCAUAUUACCUAGUAAAAAAAAAUUACAUAGCCCAAAAUUUUUUACCCUAGUUCUGGGGGAUUAGGCGGCAAAUUCAAAUAUGAGCUUCUCCGAUUCUUCAAGAAAAUAUGUGGCUUCCUUCGGUUUUUUCAAGCGAGAUAAUGUUUUUAUAUGGGCACUAAUGGGCAAUGACACCUUUUUGUUGAGUCCGGAGCAAAAAAGACAAAAAAAAAUCUUUAAAAAACAAAAGCGACACAUCAAAAAAAAUUUUUAACCAAAAGGGAAAAAUCGUUCCUGACGAAGCGAUUUUGUUCUGACAAAAAUUGACGUCAUUCCGCUAAAAGAAAUAAAAAUCGUUGCCUUCGCAGGGAUUUUCUCAAAAAAUAUAAUUAAAACUGAAGUCAGCGAUUUUCAUAAAAAGCUUUUUUUUACAAAAAUCUUUACCCUUUCAGCGAUUUAAAUGAAAUUUAAAAAAAAAAAAAAAACUGAAAACCGCUGCCUCGGCAGCGAUUUUUUCUUUAAAAAACUUGUUUUUUUUAAAUGGCUGCUGCCGAAAAUUUAUGUAAUUUAAAACUUGUUCUUUAUGUUUUUUUUUUAAUUCUUUAACAAAAAUAGUUUUUUUUUUAUAAAAACGCUACUAUAGCAGCGAUUUUAAAGAAAUAAUGAUUAUUAUUUUUUGAGAAAAUCGCUGCUUUCUCUCGCGAUUUUUAUUUCUUUUAACGGAACGACGUCAAUUUUUGUCAGGAGCAAUUUUGCCCUUUAUGGUUAAAAAAAAUUUUGAAGGAAAAAAAUGACCCUUUUGACUUUGGACUCCCUUUUUGUUGAUAUUUUAUUCAUUACAGUAAUAAGGUAACCAUAUUGUCAAACUACAAAUGAUAUAAUGUUUUUAAAGAAUUAGAAAAAAUGUUAAUAAUAAAAAAGGAAUAAUGUGACAUGGCAUCCUAUUAUGAGAGAGAUAAUGUUUUUUUUGUGUCAAGUAUAUUUUGAGAAAAAGAGAUAAAGUUAGGUGAUAUUGUGAUCCUAAAACAAACAUAAGUGAUAUUCCUAGAUAAUUUCCCAAACAUGGGAAACUGUCCAGGGAAAUUACUCCAAGAUCUAUAUGCUAAUAGAUACCCGAGAGACUGAAUCCCCGGGGAGAGAGAAAAGACACAUUACUCCUAAAAAAUGUGCAACUAACCUUUUCCAUUCCGUUUUCUUCCGUGAAAUCUAAUCUCAUAGAGUUCAAUUUCCAUUCUCAAUCUAUGUACCCUAUAAGUUCGAGGCUUCCUUCGUAACUCGGGGAACUGUUUAAGGUAUAUUAGUCAAGCGAGAGCUUUUACUAAUUCUUAGAAACUGGGGUAUAAAGUAUAAAUCAAAGUUCAAACUCAACAUAAUUUUUACAAAAAAAAAUCAACAAAAAGUUGUUUGAAAUGUGCUGAUGUUCAUCCCCUUCAACUCCCUUCUUGCUCAACUGUCAAAGCCGAAGCUUCCAAUCUCAAGAACCAAAGAGCUUCACGCUUUCAUAAUCAAGACUCAUCUCUCACACGACCCAUUUUACGCUACAAGAAUUAUAAGAUUCUAUGCUCUAAACAACGACAUCAUCUCAGCACACAACCUGUUUGAUAAAACUCCCCACCGAAGCAUUUACCUGUGGAACUCCUUAAUUCGAGCUUAUGCUAGAGCCCACAAAUUUAGAAAUGCAUUUUCGCUGUUUAAUGAUAUGCUUUAUUCUGAAAUAAUGCCUGAUAACUUCACUUAUGCAUGCCUUGUAAAAGCCAGCUCUGAGAAUUUUGAUUUGCACAGCUUAAGAGUUUUACAUGGAGGGGUUGUUCUAUCUGGGUUGCAGUUGGACUUUAUCUGUAGUAGUCAACUGGUAAGUGCUUAUUCAAGAUUAGGCUGUAUAGCUGAUGCAAGCAAGGUGUUUUCUGGGAUAACGGGACCGGAUUUGGUCCUAUGGAAUUCGAUGAUAUCAGGUUAUGGGGGUCUUGGGGAAUUGGAGAAGGGGAUAGAGUUGUUUAGUGAAAUGCAGAUAAUGGGGGUGCGGCCUGAUGAGUACUCAAUGGUAGGCCUGAUUAUGACUAUAGAUGAUCCCAGUGUGCUGAUUAUAGGUGAAGCAAUCCAUGCAUUUUGUUUAAAACUUGGUGUAGAGUCGAAUGAUCAUGUAAGCAGUCUUCUUGUUAGUAUGUAUUCUAGGUGUAAAUGUAUGGGUUCAGCAUUUAGCGUCUUUGAUAGUCUUGUAGAACCUGAUUUAGUUACAUGGUCUGCUUUAAUAAGUGGUAUUUCGCUGUGUGGGGAUAGUGUCAAGGCCUUGGAUUUCUUCAGAGAAAUGAAUAUGAAAGGUGGGAAGGCAGAUGCAUCGCUGAUUACCACUGUACUAACUGCUUGUUCUCAGUUGGCAAAUGUGCAGCCAGGCAUUGAGACACAUGGUUAUGCUUUUCGACAUGGAUAUCACUCGGAAGUUAUGGUCUCCUCUGCUCUACUUGACAUGUACUCGAAAUGUGGGUUCUUGGAAUUGGGAUAUCAAGUUUAUGAGACUAUGGUUUUCAAGAAUAUUGUUUCAUACAAUUCAAUUAUUUCAAGUCUUGGUUUAUAUGGACUUGCAUCUCAGGCCUUUGAGAUAUUCGAGAAGGCACUGGAGGAAGGGCACAAACCUGAUGAAGCUACUUUUUCUGCACUUCUUUGUGCAUGUUGCCAUGCUGGUCUUGUCAAUGAUGGUCGAGAAUAUUUCAGAAGAAUGAAAGAUCAAUUUGGCAUCUCAGCUAACACCGAACAUUAUAUUUACAUGGUAAAGCUUCUUGGAAUGGAAGGACAAUUAAGAGAAGCUUAUGAACUUGUUCAAUCUCUGCAAGAACCAAUUGACUCUGGCAUUUGGGGGGCACUAUUAUCAUGCUGUGAUGCUCAUAGAAAUUAUGAGGUCGCAGAUAUUGUAGCUUGUCGUCUUUUUGGGAAUAAGCUAGAGAAUAAUAGUUACAGAAUUAUGCUUUCAAAUAUGUAUGCUAGUGAUGGGAGGUGGGAUUUGGUAAAUAAGUUGAGAGUAGAUUCUGGAUUAACAAAGUUGAAACUUCCUGGAAAAAGCUGGAUUACUAGUAAAAAACAUUCCUUUGAAAGGAACUCUUGAAGUGUCUUCUGCGACAUCUUUCACGAGUUAACAGUUGCUGAAUCUAGGAUCAGAAGCUGCGAGAGGAGGUAGGAUCAAUCUAAUUUCCUUGUCAUGAAGGGAAAUUUUAUCAUGUAAUUCCAUAACAAAUAGAAAAAAAGAUAGUUUGACCCAUUCUGCACCUGAACAUGAUUCUAACAAGUUAUGGAAGGUUCAUCUCCUCACUUCUGUGUCUUCUUCCACAAAAAGUUUUACCAUGAAUAAUUCAUGAUUGUUAAAAACAUGAUGUCAACAGACGGUUAAGGCAUGAUAACUGAAACUUAUGUAAAGCUAAAACAUACAAGAACAGCUUACGAUCUUUGUUGUUCUGCACUUCGUUGAUCAGUUAUGUAGUCCUUAGGAAAUGGAUGACGAAGACCUUUUUUUUUUCUUUAGGUCUCUGUUCUGUUAUGAAAGUUCAAUCUGCAUGAUUUCAAACUGGUGGCCACUUGACUGCUCAAGAAUGGUGGCAAAUCAUUUUCAUCACACAAGUGUGUAGAAUGCAGCCAUGGAAUGUUUAGGUAAAAUAGAAGAAACCAGAAGUCUUCCUCUUUUUUCUUUUUAUCUUUUGAGAGCCAUGGAAACCUCUCUCUCCCUCUCCCUCUCCGUACAUUCAUAUUUAAGAGGCUUCUCCAUUCUUCUAAGAGAGUAGAGAGAUGACUAGGGAGUUACUGCUGUUUGUUCGCUGUUCCGGAAAGACUGCUUCAUUUUUCUCGCUUUGUACAUUGGUGGAACUAUGUGUUGAAGCAUUUACAAGAUUAUGCAUAUGGGGUCUUUGUGGCUUUGAGACCACUGGCUUGUUUGUUACUCUUUACAUCAGAAAAUCUGUGGAUCAUCCUAAAGCUACAGUGUUAAAGUUAGGUCAACGUCUAUUACUUCCCUCGUUUCACCAUAAGUUCAUGGUUACAUAGAAUCAGUACUCAACUGUGAAUGACAAUUAAACUUUUCCCACCUUCUGUUCAAUUGUUCACAAAAUUAUCUCUGCUGUUACGAAAGAUUUUAUUAAGGAUACUUGGAAUUUUCAACUUUGCUGCAUGAAUAUUAUUCUCCCCGGAUAAAAAAAAAGAAAGGGAGAAAAAAAGAAAAAAGAAAUCAUGAUGUUGUAUUUCUGAUUUAAUAGGUAUCUUGUACAGGUUGUUGUAGUGUCUCACUAAAUGUUGUUUAUUUGGAGUGUGGAUUAAAUCUGAGCUGUUGCAUAGUAUGAAGGAAGUUAUUCCGUUGAACGGAUUUUCUGUGCAUAUGUUUGGAAGAAUACUAAUAGCGCUGCAUCAUGUGUAAUGCGCUAUGAAAUGCCUCUAUUAAGAACUUCUUAAGAAUUGUUGUAGGUUCUCAUAAUUUGAACAAGUAUGUGCACUAUUGAUAUUGACAUCUUUUAGACCAUUAACAUAAGUCAUCGAAAAAUGUCUCUAACAUGAGGCAAGAAGUACAUUGUCUGCAGGCUCGGUUCUCCUUGGUGCAGUCAUCAUGCGUUUCAUAGUUGUGUUUGCAUGCUUCAAGACUCUGAAGGACAGGCAAAGUUUCUUUUGUAAAUAUGGUAUGAUAAAUUGUGGUAUCAACUGAAAUUUCUCUGAGGCCAAACAUUAUACAAGGCAUUUAUAAGUAGAGAUAUUUAACUUAAAGAGCCGGAAAGUGGAAUAAGUAGGAGUUGAAAUGUUAGAAGUCAUAUGCAGGACUGGUUCUCACCAUCGGUGCAUUUAGUCUAUGAAACAAGACCUUUUUCCUGACCAAUUGUGUUCUAAUCAUUGCACCUUGAUUCCUACUACAUUCUAUCAAUUAUAUCGAUCAACUUUAGCUAAAUCUCAAACUAGUUGAUCCUUCCACGUUUUAUUGCCACUAAAUUUGAACAAUAUAUGCAUGUGUAAAUAGUUUGUGGGAGUCUUUUGGUGUGUAAUCAAUCCCAUUGUCAAUUGCUAUAGCUACAUCUUUGGUUGGUAUUCUCGGUCUUUUCCAUGGCAGUGUGUUAAAUCUUCGCUAAACUUCAUUUAUGUUAAUUGAACUUUUGAAAGUUUUUAAGAUUCAAGUAUUUGAAAUGCAUUUUUCUUCAAGUUGCUAUACUUGCUAAAGGAGGCCAAGUGUGCUAAUAUAUGAUAUGGGUGUGUAAGCUAUUUGAUAUAGUUAAAGCAGGCUGUCAUUUUUAUUAUAUGAUCAGUUGCUCAGUCAGUAUUGGAAUCCUUACCCCUAGAUGCAAUUUUAGUGUUCUAACUGAUUGCUAUCUAAUGUUGCAUAAACAAACAUUUGCGCUGAGGUUUUAGAACUCUUCUAAAAUGCACACUUUUAAAUGUGUUAAAACGCACAUUAGCUGAUUUAUAAAAACAGUUUUAUAAGAUACCGUGCGUCAAUGACACUUCUGAAUAACUUUGCUAGUUGCAUCACUAACAUAUUUUUCUUUCAUUUUGUGGGAGGGACUUGAUGUUUGAAGGCUUGAAGAAAUCCUGGAUCAUAAAUUCAGUUGCCCGACAAAUUUGCUACUUCAAGUGAAAGGUAUCACAGGUUAGAAACAGCUCUCCUACAUAAGCAGGACAACUAGUGGCUUCUGUUUGUUCGUUGUUAGCUUUGUGCAUCAAAUUGGUUGCUUCUCAAAGACCCAAAAUUAUUUAUAAUAAGGUUAAGAAGAAAACAUUAUGGCAAUGCAAAGUGGUACCUAUGCUGCUUGUGAUGAGAUCCUUGUAACAGCCUCUUGAACCCUGGAAAACAACAAGUUAUAAGAAUUAUCAGUAUGCAAGCGUGUAGCAUUUAAUUAAAAAAUCUUGAAGUCCGAUUAGAAGUUUUAUUGCCACAGAAAUAUUGAAUUUAUCAAAGGAAAAUGGCAUAAACUGUCAAAUUGUGUUAAGCAUUUACUAUUUCUUUCGCUUUUCACUCUUGUAAGUUGUUACCACUUUACUAAAUGGUUGUACUUAUCAAGUGCUCUUUUUACUGCUUUCUUUUUGUGUCGAUUUCUGUAGAAGUAUAGUUGUAUUUCUUUUCUGGAUGAGAGUAUUAUCUACACUUUCAUUCUUGUAAAGACAAUUUUUCUAACCAUGUGUCAAGGCCAACUUUUGUGCACCUCGACUAAUUCCACGGGAUAUCUUCUACCUCCCAUCAACAAUAGGUACUACAUAACUCUGUCCACCAAGGCUAGGUCAGAUGAGAAGAAAUCACCUAGUGUUUUUGUAUUGUAAAUGACAUUUCUUUUAAAUGAUUUUUAUAUGGUAAUAAUUGGAAGAAUUAUUUCAUUCAUUAACUACCUAGUUAACCAAAUCAUUGAGGCUUCUCCAUCAUGUUCUACUGUCAUUUUUACAUUGGAUUUGCACUUACGUUUGCUUCUCUACAAUGCUGGGAACAUUCCAUCUUUGUCUCAAGUAGCAAUGAUGAUGAGUUACUGAUGAUUGGGAGGAAACUUGCAAUUGCACGCUCACGCACACACUCUUGAUUCGAGUUACUGAAUAUUUAUCACUCUGAUGAAGCUAUUAUAAAACAUCAUAGCAUUUUUCUUGCUUGUGCUUUUGAAGUUGUUGACAUAGUUCUUCGUGUUUACUUUUGCUUACUGAGGCAAAACAGGAGUAGUGUGAGCUUCUAAUCAAAUGGUGAAAUCAGGUCCCUAGUUUAACUAUCAGUAGGGUCAUUUGUGUUUUUUCUUCAAUGUUUUUUCCUCAUCUGUUUCCUUUUUUGGAAGUUACUGUUUGAUUAGUUAAUUCAUACUUUACUUUAUUUUAAAAUUGAUUGAUGAACCAAAAUAAUCUGGAAGAGAUUGCAUGAUUGUUGGAACAGAAAUAUUCCUUUUUUUCUAGGAUUCAGAACCUGUAGAGUGCUAGUUUUGAACUCCUAUAUGGCACUUGAAAGCAACCUUGACCUUGAGGCUCUGAACUGAGUUAAGAAUAGGUGAAAUGAUUAGCUGGAGAGGCUACUUCUUAGACUAAUGUAUUCACUGUAUGACUUACAAGUGUUAGGCAAAAUAAUACUCUAGUACAUUAGGAUGUAGACCUUAUGUGUCCUUUUCAUCUUCCUUUUGCCCUUUAAUUUGAGCUGUAAAAACAGUUUGGGUUAUGUUAGGACUUAGGAAUAGCAAGUUGCAAUUAUGAGCAGGCAGCUACAAAUAGGAAGUGGGGGAUCUGUCUCCCAGCAAACCAUUGUUUUCGCGGACGACAUUAUUUAGUGGUCAACGAAGUAGGUUGAGAUCAUGAGGUCUUAAGUGGUAUAAAAACAUUAGGUGAUUUCCUUUUCUCAUCGCUCCAAGCCUUGGUGGACAGAAUUACUCGGUCUAGUACUUGUUCCUCUUAGGUAUGUAGUUGUUUCGCUCUCUCUCUCUCUCCCUUUUUCAAAUUCACAACUUGUAGCUACACUAGCCAUGUUCCAUGACUAAAACCUACUGAAUUAUUAGGCUAGCCAAACAAGUUUCACUGUGUGUAAAGCCUAUAUCUUCAAAAUUCCAACUAGGAAAUUAUUAUGCUUGAGUCCAUUUUUGUGUGUUACUAUGUUGAAAGGAGAACUGUGUGCUUUGACAUUGUGAAAAAGUAUGAACUGUUGAUGAUGUUCCUAACUCUUAUAUCUUGACUCAACUUUUUUUAAAACUUAAUGCAUAAUUAAGAUAUAAUCUUACUUGUGGAAGAUAGAAAGUACUCUCGUAGAAUAGUUAAGAUGUGUUUAAGCUGACUCUGACACCAUCGUCGUUAAAAAAAAAGUGAGCAUAAUUAAAGAUUUACCCUACAUCAAAAUAAUACAUUUUUUGUAUAAAAAUACACAUUCAAAACUCAACUGACUUAUAUUUGUGAAUUGGUGGGACAACCAAUCAACUAAACUACCUACUGUUUUUUAUUUUAUUUUGAAGGAUAACGUAGAAAAAUGUUCAUUAUAUCUGUGCAAUCUAGAAGUGUCAUUUCUUGAUUGAAAACACUUUCUUGUUAUUUAAUCUUCGUGUCUCUAUUCAAUCAUUUAAGAUGAAUCUAGUAUUUCUCAUAAUGAUUAUUUGUUCAUCAUCAGUCCCUUUGUAUUAAACAAUGUACUAGAAUUUUGGUUUGUGGAAUUAUCCAGCCACAAAUAUAUUGAGAAAAAAGAAUAGCCAAAAGCAAAUCUUAUUAGUGAGUCCGGAGCCAAAAGGGCAACAAUUUUUUUCAAAAAUUCUAAAAGGGCAACAAAAUUAUUUAUCAAAUCAAAAGGGCAACAAAUUUAAACACCAUCUAAAUUAGGAUUUUUGCCGCAAGGUGCGGAUACCCAUGCGACUUGUAAGGCGCUGGCAGCUUUUAGCCUUGUAAGGCUCUGCCGCCAUGAGCCUUACAAGGUGCAAGGAAUCUGCAGCCUUUUUCUAAAUUUUUUUUACUACUCUUUUACUACUAUCAAUUCUUUUUAUAUUAAUUGUUUACUGAGCCUUACAAGGCGUGGGAAAUCUGCAGCCUUUUUCUGGAAAAAAAUAAUAAAAUCCUACUCUUUUAUUGCUAUCAAUUCUUUUUGUACUAAUAGUUUACCCAAAAUUUCCACUAGUCUAUAAUUAACGGAUGAUUUUGAAUGUGUGAGAUAAAAAACAUACUAAAUUAUUUACAUUGAAAAUUAAAGGAAAUUUGAGGAAGAAAAUUAAAGCUAGUGGCUUGAAAUCAUUUUGAGUUUAGUUACUAUUAAGACAUAAAAUUACUGUAAUGUCUUUUAAGUAUGUCAUAGAUUUUUAAAAAUGGAAUGUUAUGAACUUGUCAUAUAUAUAUAUAUAUAUAUAUCAUGUUUCGAAAAUAUUUCUUUUGAGUAUAGUGUCUAUCAAAGUCAACCUUUCUAUUCCUAAUAGUAAGAGUAAAAUCUAUUUACCCCGAUUCUACCCAGACUCCACAUAUGAGAUGAUACUGAUAUUUUCAUAUUGAUUAACUUUUCAUAUAUCUGUUGACUUUUGGGAUUAGUUAAUUUUGCCAAUCACUAACAUGUUGUCAUUAAUAUAAUCUGAAAGAUUUGCUUUUAUUUAAUUGUAACUAAUAGUACUACUAUUAUUAUCUUUUAGAUACCAGACAAAAGAAGAAAAAAAAAGAAAUCAAUAUUACCAAGUGAUAAAAAAAGAGUGAAGAAUUAUGAUAACAAGCUAGUGUUGUUUUCCAUUUUGAUGCAUGAGCUUUUUGUAGUAGAGGCUUUACCCUUUUAGUAAGCUUUAGCCUUUCAUUGAUUGUAGUAGCGGUGCCUUUCCUUUAAUUUUCAAUGUAAAUAAUUUAGUAUGUUUUUUAUCACACAUAUUCAAAAUCAUCCGUUAAUUAUAGACUAGUGGAAAUUUUGGGUAAACUAUUAGUACAAAAAGAAUUGAUAGCAAUAAAAGAGUAGGAUUUUAUUAUUUUUUUCCAGAAAAAGGCUGCAGAUUUCCCACGCCUUGUAAGGCUCAUGGCGGCUUAGCCUUAGAAGGCUAAAAGCUGCCAGCACCUUAUAAGUCGCAUGGGUAUUUGCGUCUUGCGGCAGAAACCCUGAUUUAGAUGGUGUUUAAAUUUGUUGCCCUUUUGGUUUGAUAAAUAAUUUUGUUGCCCUUUUGAAAUUUUCAAAAAAAUUUGUUGCCAUUUUGGCUCCGAACUCUCUUAUUAGUCCACUAUAGUUUCGGCAUUAUCUAAUAGCUUUGGUCCGAAUUAUGUAUAUCAUAUGUUAAGAAAUUUAGUCUAUCUAUAUACAAAAAUGAAAUCUAAAAAGAAGUUAUUAGCUCCUGAGGUAAUCGUGUUAUAAUUCAAAUUCUGUAAAAUUGAAAUCACAUAUUUUAGCUCUUGAGGUAAUCGCGUUAUAAUUCAGACCCUUUAAAGUUGAAAUCACGGAUUAGCCUCUAAAUAUAAUUCAGUAUCACACAUGAUUAUGAUAAUCUUAGGUAUCAAUGAAUCGGCUACUAAGAACCAACCUAAUGCAAAUGUACUUUUCGAGCAAGAAAAUUAGCAAAAAAGAGCUUUAUAAUUAAUAUUAAACAUGGAAAGAGAAAAAGUUAAAGAGGCCCCUCAUUUUUGAUUUUGUUCUAAAUACUUGUAAUCUCUACCAAGAAGACUUAAAAAUUAAUUAUCAUCGAAUUGAUUCGGAUUUAGAAGGCUAUAUUAAGUGGUCAAGGGUUGACUAGCCUUAGUUAAUUGUCCACUAAAUUAAAGAUUAGGAAGAACAAUUAUUUAGAACAAGUCACAUGCAAUAGAUGCUAAACAAAGUAUAAUGCGGCUAACAACUUAGAUUAAUUAGCAAAUAAAAGAUAGAUCUGUGAUUAAUAAAAUGUAUUUAUACAAAACAAGUCUCUUUUUUGGAUAUUAAUAACCAAUGAUUAUGGUUAUGAUGGCAGCCCACUAUAGGGUGAUUUUCACAAAGAAUAUUACGCUAUCUAAUUGCCUUUAUUUAUGACUACUUUAUUUAAUUUAAUAUUUCCAUUCACUCACGAAAUAGUUAAGUUAUGAAUUUUAAAGCAAUAUACACGCCACGAUAUACAAUAAACUACACAUUCACACUUUUUUUAAGAAAAUCUUUUUUUAUUAUAUCGGGAUAGAGGAAUGAGAAAUGAGAGAGGUAAUCACAAGGAGGGGAUUAAAUCCUCACUGAUAAUGUGAAAGUUUAGAUAGUUAACCCAUUGGGUUACUAAGAUCCACCCCCCCCCCCCCCACNNNNNCAGACCCCCCCCCCCCCCCCCCACCCAAAAUAAAAUAAAUGUAUACAUACAUUUUAUGUGGUCCAUGAUUCAUUGACCAAACUAAGUUCUAUGUGGUCCAUGAUUUACUAGUCAAACUAAGUUUCAUGUUUGUCCACGAUUCACUGGUUAAACUAAGUUGACAAAAUGGCACAACAUAACACCCUAUAGACUAAAUUAGCAAGAAAUAAUCCACUUUUAAUUUUUUAGCAAGAAAAAGACUUUGUUUUAUUUAUUUGGCAAUGAAUAGUUAUUUUUCUUUCUUUUUUUAAUGUAUUUUUGCUCUCCUUAUUUUUCUCAAACACACGUUCUAAAAAAAUAUUGUUUUAUUAUCCCUAUUUUAUCUCUUUUUUUUUUAUUUUGUCAACACUUUUAAAAUUGAGUUCUUCUCUUUUUUGUCUCCUUUUUCUCUUUCCAGAAUUCUUUUCAUACGUAAUUCUCUCCCUAAUUUCAAUUCUUCUCCUUAAUUCAAUCUGUUUAUGAAAAUCAGAUAUAACAAUAUGUUUUUCAUGGAUAUUUCUAAAAAUCAUCUUUAUAUAUAAUCUUGUUUUGUCAAAUUAAUUGUUGAAUUUCAUGAUUUGUAGAAUUGAAGUUUCUUUCAAUUUUGUUUUUUGCGAAAAUUUAGGUUAUUCAACCUUCUUUUGUUUUCUUUCUAAAAUCCUUUUCAUAUGUAUAUUUGCUUCUCUUCUAAAUUUUCUCUUAUUCUCCUUAAUUUACUCUGUCUAUGCAAAUCAGAUAUAACUGUAUGUUUAUCAAUUGAUCCUUCCAAUAAUUUCUUUUAAUAUAUAUAAUUAUUGUAGCAUUUCUUGCCCCAUUAAUUUUAAAAAUUCGUGAUUUGUGGAACUAAAGUUUUUAAAACUUUUUUGGCGAAAAUUCAGGUAAUAGUUUUUAGAAAUUUUUGUUCUCAAUUUCAUGGGCAAGAAAGAUCUUCGUAAAAAAUCAGAAUGUUGAUUUUGAUGAAUACAACCCAAUGUAUACCAAUGAAUUUCAAUCUCAAUUUAAAUUAAAGUAUACAAGUUUAUUAUGUGAAUACAAAUCAUUGAAUACACGAUGAAUACGAACUAAUGUGUACAUAGUGCAGUUACCGUAUACAUAAAAAAAAUCACAUGUAUAAUUAAUGAAUAAAAUUUAUAUAUGUAUCAUAUUAAUCUCAUUCUUGUAUACAAUAUAAAGUUUAUGUACACAUGCUACAAUUAUUGUAUACAUCAAUAAAAAUUUUACACGUCUAUUUUUUAUGAAUAUUUUUUUGUGUAUACAUAUUUUUAUUGUGUACAUUAUGUAAUUGCAACUUUAAUUAUUAUAUAAUUUAUGCAUAUGUAUUAUUACAGUUUCUAAUAAAAUGUCAUUUAAUAUUAUUUGAUUAAUUAUUGUCGAUUAUGUGAUAAUUAAUACACGUUAGAGCAUUAAUAAUACAUUUUCUUACCUUAAAAAGUAGUCACAAUCUUUUAAUAAGUUAUUUAAAGAAUUUUAAAAAAUUAAUUCCUUAAAAUUUGGUGUAACCUNNNNUUUAAAGAAAUUGAAAAGCUAACUUCCUUAAUUAUAGGAGUUAAAAACAAGGAAGAAAAAAUAAUCUCACAUCUCCUUAAUUAAUGCGGGUUGGUUGCACAUGAUAAAAAGAAAAAAACUAUAAAAAGUUGAUUUUAUUUCUUUUAGGCUAAUAUGUGCUAAUUUUGUUUUAGGCUAUUAAUUGCUAAUUAAUAUUGAGCUAUAUAUUGCCAAUUAUAUAUAAUAGUUGUAUGUAUGUGUCAAUUCCUCAACUAAGUUUCACGUGGCCCAUCAAAAUGAUCCAUAUGGACAAACAUUUAAAUGACCGUCUCCAGACUAUCUUUGAUAUGGUAGAAAUAAUAAACCGAGCCUCGCACUAUCACUCCACCAAUUGGUCCAACUCUUUACAUGAUAUGAUAUUAUCUUCAAAUUAUCUUUGAUAUGGUAAAAUAAUAAACCGAGCCUCGGACCAUCACUCCAUCAAUUGGUCCAACUCUUUACACGAUAUGAUGUUAUCUCUAAACUAUCUUUGAUAUGGUAAAAGUAAUAAACUGAGCUCCGCACCAUCACUCCACCAAUUGGUCCUACUCUUUACCAUUAUCUGGCUUAGGCCAAGACCAACAAUUUUUUCCAAAAAAACAUAUGUAACUCUAUACUUUACAUAUAAUUUCCAAAUCUUCAAUUAUCAAUAUAAAUCUUUAUUCGCAUUUCCAACAAAAUAAACACUUAAAGACAAGUUAUAGUAUAGUAAAUGAUAUGGAGAGGACAAACAAAACUACAAAAGGAGUACUGGAUGAUUUGAGGACUUCACCUAUAUAUCAAUCAGUUGAUAAGAAUUUAAUAAUAAAAUAUUGUAUUCAGCAAUGUACUGCAAUUUCCUUGUGCAUCUCACUUUCAUCUCUGAACAAAUUGAUGUUUGUACUGUUUGGUCGAUUAGUAGGGUCCUUCUCAACACUCAAAAUUGGAAAAUGACAUGAACUUUACUAUUUUCUUGGUUUCAAUUCGUGAAUAGAAAUUAUAAAAUCAACGUUAUGAAAAUUUCAAAUUCCGAAAAACUUUCCAUCUGAAAUAUUAUAACAAUUCUAUGUCGAGACAAUUUUUUCGAAAAAAAAAAGAGUGGAGACUGUAUAGGGCGGUCGAAAGGAGCAUUUAGUUUAUUUAGUGUUGACAGGUUAAAGUUAGACGUGGAAAAGAAGCAAUGAAAAAGAGCAGUUGAAAAAUGGCAGAGGGAUUGGAUAUGACUAUUUGAGUGAUCCCACCACAAAAUUCUCAUGUUUGCAAAAAUGACUGAAUCUUUGUUUCUUUUAGGUUGGAUGUUAUUUAUGUUCCCUUUCUUUUCACACUAUCAACCAAACUAUCCCUAACCUUAAACUAUUCAACAUCUCACUUUAAUUUCUAUACACAAAAUUUACUUUUCAUCACCACACUAUAUGUAGCGGACUCAAAAUUGUCAUUAAGGAAUGUCAAUAGAAUUAAAAUACAUAAUCUUAAGGAAAUUUUUUAAUGUCUUAAUUACUAGAUUAAGUCAUUAACUUGUGUUUAGAGGUGUCAAUAUAUAUAUAUAUUUAUUUUCAAUAAAUCAAAACUUGACCUCUACACAGAAGCGGAGCUAAGAUUAGGAGUUUAGGGGUUCUAAAUUUUAGGACAUAAGAGAAAAAUAUUACAAAACAUGCUUCUUGGUAGGGUUCAAACCCACAACACUAGUGUGAAAAAAAUUUUUAUUGCCUUUCCUUACCACUAAGUUGUCGAUCAAUUUUGUUAGGGAGCUCACAAGUUAAUAUACUUAUAUAUUUAUUUAAUUUUCUAAUAUAAAUACAAAAUUUACGGAAAAGCUAGUGGGUUUAUGUCUUUAAAAAGUAAAAAAUAUUUUUGAAUUACGUGAUUUUAAAUUAAAGAUAUAUUAAAUGUAUUAAAAUAUCUUUUUAUUUAUGAUUUUAAACAUGUUACGUGAAAAGUUGAUUGAAUCGGAGGGAAUUGUAUAUUUUUUAAAAAGGAUUGGAGAAGUAAAGGAUUCUGUGUGUGUGUCACGGGGGUUUAACCUCAAGAUAAUGGGUAAACUAUGUGCGCUCUCUCUCUCUCAUAUAAAAAGUUUUAUCCGCCCUCAUCGUUUUAUUUGACACUACCAAAAAAAAAGAUGAAUUUUGAAAUUUGUGGUCUAAGAUAAAUUUUAGAUAUUUAUAUAUAGUUAUAAAUUAUUUUAUUAAAUUUGAGAAAUUUUAAAGUUAAUUUUUCUAAUUAUAUAAAUGUGACAUUAUAUUUUAGUGUGACACAUAAAUUGGGACAGUGAAAGUAUAUAUAUAAAUACACACACUUGUGAUCCUAAACUAAAGAUAUAUAUUGAACAUACUAAAAUGAAUGUCGUCUAAUCUUAUAGUUUUAAAUAUGACAUAUGAAAAUUUUAAAUAUGACAUAAUUUAAAAAUAAAAAUAAGAUAAAUAAAUUACUUAAAACGGAGGGAGUAUUUUUGUUUUUUGUUGAAGAAACAAUUACUGUAAUAGAUAUGGGUAUAAUUAUGUUACUCCUUUGAUUCUUCUUUCUGAAUUUCUCCAUAAUUUGAGGGUCAUUAAUUACGUAUUUCUCGAACUAAGAUGAUUUGAACUUGUUCUCCAUGAAAGAAUUUAUGAAUCUUGAUCUCCAUAAUUCAAGUGUUGUUAGUGGUUAUUUCUCGAACAAAGAUAAUUUGGACUUGAUUAUCUCCAUGAUAAGAAUUGUGGUUAUAUGUUUUGAUCUCUUAUGAAUACCUCAGAGUUUAUGAGAUAUUCGAGAUGAGGGAGUAGUAAUUAACAUUAAUUAGAAUCAUUAAGUGAGAAAUAAAUUACUACUAUGGCAAGACAAGAUUGGGGUCACGUGUAUUAAAGAUGAGUAGUAGUGGCGUUUGAAUAAUGUAGUUUGUCAGAAGGUGUAUGUGUGUAUUUCAUUAGAGUUCCAUCAAUCAUAUCCUCUGAAUUCAUUGUAAUUUCGAGAUCAUCAAAGAAUCAUACAACUUUUCUUUUCCAUCGAAUGAAAUCCAACAUCUUUCUGCUACUGCUCCCACCAUUUUACAUUAUCUGUAAAGUUAGUUUUCGUGUUGCUUAAUGCUACCCCUAAAAGUAACAAUAGUCUUUAUUAGUAUAGUAAUAAUUAACCGGCUUUUAUCUAGGCUGACAAGCUUACGAAGAAGAUAUGUGUUAUUCUUUAUGGGAUCAUAUAGUGGGACACUCAUUACUUUGACUUUUCACUUGCUAUAGUCAUAAGCUAUAGUAGUUUCGGCUCACCAUCAUAGAGGUCCACCCUGAGAGAUCAGAGUGGUUCAACAGUUAACCUUCAUUUGAAUUAUGUUUGGAGUGUCAGAUCUAGUUAUUUAUCUAAAGAGUUAUUGCAAUUACUUAUCUUAGAUUCCAUCACCACAAUCUUCUGGUUCACCUGUAGUACAAAGAGAUGAAAGUGAAGAGUUUUAUGAACAUAACACAAAUUCGUUUUAGGACUCUAUGAUGGUGUUGCCCAAUGGCCAAAUCUAUGCGGUCUGUUGGACAAAGUAAACCAUAUAUGACAUGUGCUUGAGUACUUGUGACAAAUAUGGUAUCCAAGGGGACACUCAUUAAUAUAAUAGAAAUGUAUGUCACUCAUGAUGGGUGGCGGCUAGACAAGGUUGGAUUGUAGGCAAAUUUCUAGGUUGGUGAGCUUAUGAGCUGAAGAAAGGGUACAUGUUAUACCUUAAGGCUUAAGCGAACUCCAAUAUAUGGUAAACAUGUGUUUGAGCUCCAUGUUGACAUAGCUUAAAAAAUAAAUUCAUUAAAUUUGUUGAGCCAAAACGAAUAAUAUAUAUCAUGGGUUCCAAUCCUUACAAAAAUAUCAAGUUCAUACUUUUUGCUUCAAAAUUCUAGUGAUACUACUCAUUACUUUUUCUCAUUUUAUCUUUUGAACUGCAAUUUUUUUUUGGUUAGGUAGGAUGAUGUUCAUUUUUCAUCAAGAGUGUCACAAUCUAUUCAUCACAAGCUUUUGUAGUAGAAAUUGUAUUUAACGUAUUUAUUGCAAUUAAUGAAGCGCUAGCAAUCAAGAUAAAGAUUGUCAGUGAAUAUGUUCUAGACAAAAUAUUGGGAGAUUAGAUUGGUAGUUCUUUACGAAUUUGUAUUAGUUGUGUCAUUUUUACUAGAGAUUUUUAUUUUAAUAUAUAUGCAAAAGAUUUUCAUUUUAUAUGUAUGAUAAAAUAUUCGAAAAUGCAUUUUUUUUGUUGUAUUUAUAAGUCUUUGUAAGAUGUCAUUACAAUUUACAAAGUUAAAAAAGCUUAUAAAUAUUUGUGUGACCGUAAAAUAUAGUCGAAUAUUUGUUUCUGUUAUUGCUGAUCAUUUACUAGAAUAAUAAGUCAUUUUGUUAUAUGAGGAGAGUUUAUUUAAAUUUAAAUGAAAUGUUAUGUGAGUUAUUGAAUUUUAUUUUGUAGAUCUGUUUAUUUUUUUAGAUUGGCUAUUUAAAACCUUUUAUAUUUGAUAAAAUUUAAGAGAGAAAAAUUUAAUAAUCUUUCAACCUUUUUUCGUUAUACCGGCUUUGAAAAAAUAACAGAGCCUCACUAGUCAUAUACGAGAUCCGUGAGUUAAUUCUAAUGAAUCAUGUUAAAACUAUUUAAAAACAAUAUCAAUUUUUAAUCUAUUUUUCAAAUAUGAUAAGCAAUAAUCUCUCCAUAAAUUUUCAUAGAUGAAAAUGAUUAAAUUUAACCUGUGAAAAUAAAAUCAUAUCUUAAAGUUUAUAAUAUAAAAAAUUGUAAUGGAAAAUGAAUUCCAUUCACAAGAGAAAAAAAUACAAAAAUGCGAGACAUAAAAAAAAACUUGGGAAAAACUAAAAAAGAUAUAAGUCUAAGAAUGUGACUGAAUCAAAUAAAUUAAAUCUUUUUAAUAUUUGUAAAAUAUUUCUUAGCAAUUCAAUUUUUAAAUAUUAUUUAUUUGUUAGGAGUAAUGUGGAUUGGAAUAUCAAUGACAUCGUUAUAUUGAUUUGACAUUGACAAAGAGAAAUUGAAUUUACAAAGAGAUUUUGAAUUUCUUAGAAUUCAAAAGGACGAGUCUGUCAUCAAGUAUCAUGAUAAUAUUCUUUUGAUGAGAAUUUCAAAAAUGACAAAAUAGUUGAAUUAAUUUUUGUGAUAAUUCCACCGAGAUGUUAGAUUAAAAUUUAUUUUAUAACGGAGUCUAAAGAUCUCUCUAUCGUUUAUAUAAUAAAAUUGGUAAAUACUUUUAAAGCAUGGAGACAAAGAAGAGUCUUCAAAUAUUAUUGAUGAUACUUUUUAUGCACAAAACAAAAAAAAUAUUAAUGAAAACCUGAUGCAAUAUGCAAAAAUUUCAAACAGAUAUGUCAUGUCAAGAAAGUGUACGAUUCAAUGACGCUCAAAACAAUCAUCAAACACAAACAACAAAAACAAAAAUUGAGGUGGAUUAACUUUAUCACACAACAAUAUAUAAUUGAAAGAUAGGACUUAGGGUGUUCAAUAUUUGUUAUUUUACUAAUCUACUAGAAUAAUAAGUAGUUUAGUUAUAAAAGGAGUCUUUAUUUUAAUUUUGUUAGAUAAGUAUAACUCCAUUAAGUGUGAUAUUAAGGGAUUUUGAAUAUAUUGUAUAAAAAUGUACUAUUAUAUAAAAUGUGCUAAAUUAAUUAUUUAAUUAAUUUAGAAAGGGGGUUGCACUAGCUCUAUAGUAUUUCAUGGGUCCUCCUUAUCUUCUUGUUUAUUUAAUUUUCCCUUUUUUGUGGGGUUACACGUUGGGGCCUUGUGGGGUUGGGAGGAAUGCGAUGUUGAGAACAGUGGACUAUAUAGCAAAGGCUGAAAACCCUAUACAUGUAUCAUGUGAUUUACCUACUGUUCUAGCGUCUACACAAUGCAAACAACUAAUUAUAUGAUGGUAGCCAAACAAAUAUCACGAGGUUAAUAAGCUAUGCACGUACAUGAAGUGACAAGAGGAGUUGCUCGUAUGGUAAACACUUGUAACUUCUAACCUGAAUUUUAUGAGUUCUAAUUAUCAAAGGAGCAACAAGAUGGGAGUUGGUUCCAACCUGAAUAUUAUGAGUUCGAGUCUCCAUGGGAGCAAAAAGGUGGGAGUUGGUUCUAACCUGAAUAUUAUGAGUUCAAGUCACCAAGGGAGCGAAUAUUAUGAGUUCGAGUCACCAAGGGAGCAAAAAGGUGGGAGUUGGUUCCAACCUGAAUAUUAUGAGUUCGAAUCACCAAGAGAGAACAAGGUAUUGAAGCUUUCAGUUAACAAUAAUUAUAUAUCAACAAUCAACCUGUUAAAUUAGGUCUUGGGCCAAACUCACACCCCAAAAGCUAGCUCAAAGAAAGGAGGAUUGCCCAAGACUUAUAAGGAGUCCACUCAUCUCAUUAACCAUCAAUGUGAGACUUUUGUCAUUCUUUAACGCAACCAAAUUUGUCUUCCUUCUCUUCUCUUUCCUGUCAUAUAGACAUGUUGCUUCACACAAGACUUUUUAGAAAAACAAAAAGAAAAGUGAUUUUCUUUACUGCGUCCCUUGCUCUUCAAGUUGCCUUAAUUAGCUUAGAAAUAAUAAAUUAAAUUAUAGUACUAAUGUUUGAUCUUUACUCAGAUUUUUGUGCCCUUUUUGAUAAGUUUCUUUCGGCUAUACAUUUAUAAUAUUGAAACUUGGCAGCUUUGCAGCAUAUAUUAGGUAAAGAAAAAUGUGGUCCAUAUGAACAAAAGUCUGAAAUCGUAUGUAAAUAAGUAAUGCAUUUAUUAAUAAAGGAUCACUUUUUAUAUAUAUAGGCUACAGAUUCUAACUGGAGAAUCUGCUUUACAAUGACAUGCCAAAUAGUUACUUUGUUUAUAUAUAUUGACCCAUAAACAAAUCCCAUAUGCCAUGCCAUGCCAUGCCACAUUUUAGGACUUAUAGGUAGUAGAUAGAUAACUAUGACUCAAUACUCAAUAGCCAUAUUAUAAAAUGCUAACAACAAGUGUUUUGAGUUCAAAGAAAUAACACAUAGAAGAUCGAGGGUCAUCACAAAACCCUAACAAGUUGAAUUUAUUAUCAAAUCAAAUACUUCCUCCUCCUCCAUAUCCAUGAUGAUCUCCGGUAGUGUUUUGAUGAUCAUUCCAAUUAGGGUAAGAAUACGGUAUCGGAUAACUAGAUGUUUGAUAAAAACCACCACCACCACCACCACCACCUCCGGAUGGUCUUCUAGUAAUUAAUUCAACCGAUCUUUGACGAAGAGUGAUGUUAUGAUGAACAGGUAAAGGUGGAACGGGGGAAGAUGUGAACUCAUUGCAAGCAUAGCGGAUCAAGUCCGCAUUAGCCGCGUCGAGCUCUUUUUGGAGGCGCUCGACUUGUCGUUGGAGGAAGGAGAUUGCACCUACGCAGCCGUAGACGGGGUCUCUAACUCUUGCUUCGGCUUCGUAGGCUAAAGAAUUAACGGCGUCUUCUCGUUGGUGCGGAAGGAGUUCGUUGAGGAGCUUAGUGACAUUGCUAGCGCCGAAGAUUUUGUGGACGUUGAUGAAUUUUUGCGGCUCUUCGGGUGGGAAGUAAGGUGAGAAAAUGCAGCCAGGAAGACAUUUUCUCCUUAGGAACUUGCAAGCAGCACAAGGGGAGUUGUAUGAGCUGGAUGAUGCCAUUCAAUCCUUCUUUAACUAGCUGCAAAAUAUCAAGUAAUUAAAUCUCUUCUUAUUCUUUUUUUAUGUUUAAAUAUCUCGUGAAAUUACUUAAUUAGUGCUUUUGUUUGAACCUGGUUCUCAUCCAACUUGGAUAUAUGCAUCUUAAUUGUUUUCCAUACAAACCUCUACCUAAGUUUAACUUUAAUUAGUUGUUAAGUAUACUACUUCCUCUAUUUCAAAUUAUAUGUCUUAUUUUUCCUUUUUUAGUCUACUUUCCAAUUUGGGGUUUUCUUAAUUUUUUUAGAACUGGGAAACAAAGAGGAACAUUUCAAUUUUGAGUUAACAGAUUUAUUAGGAAAAUUGGAAAUCUAUGCACCCCUCUAAUUUGUACGAAUUCAAUUGAACUCGUUAUUUUUUAUACAGAACAUAUAAAUACAUAGUAGUAUGAGAGAAACCAUCUAAAGAGUUCAAUAAAUAUUAGGUUUUGAACCAUAUAUAUUCUUGAGAUAUACAGUGAGUUCAUGUUAAAAACUUUAAAAAUUGAAUCGAUCAAGUUUAAAUCAUGGGGCACCAUUAAUUAGAAGCGUUAAGUUCAAAAUGAAUUCUAUUUUUGGUAUUAUGUCCACUGCUAAGUUUAGCUAAUUAUAUAUUUUGUUGUUUCCUUUUAUGUUUGAUGUUUUAUGUUUUAUGUUUUAUCCCAACUAACUAAUUAUUUCUUGUUUUAUAGUUCAUAUGACUCAGAAACACACUGCAUGCUUUCAAUUAUUUGUAUCAUCCAGCUAAUUACUAGAGCCAGUAAUUUUCAUGAUCCUGAAUUUGGAUUUUCCAAUGGAAGUAGUGAUAUAUCCUUUUGAAUUUUGUUAAACAUAAGAUCUAAACAAAAAUGUUCUUGAAAUCUUAUUUCAUAAAAAUAUGUUUUUUUUUCAAGAAAACCCUAAAUCAAGAACUGUGACACCAACUAAUAUAGCCAACAUUUUUGUGUACCUUUAAGAAAAAGAAAAAAAAAAGAUUUAGGCAAAAAAAUGCUAGUAACUCUAUUUUUUGAUCUAGGUAUAUGUUUUGAUGAGAUGAAAGAAAAAAUGGAAUUAAUCAAUUACCUUUUUUUUUCUCUUUGAGGAAGCUCUCCUUGAGAUCACAACUUGCCUCUUUAUUUCUUCAAUCAAAGUAACAAAAACAAAGUACAAAACAUUAAAACAGUAGCAAGAUUGAAAAAAAAAGAAGUGAACUUAAUUCACAAGUAGAAUAGUUACUAGCCCUGUAAGGGGGAAAACCCUAAUUGAAGAAGAGAAGAAGUUUAGGUUUGUCCCCUGCAAAUCUAGUAGUAGUAGUAGUAGGAAAAAAAGUUAUAAAUAAAGAAAAAAGAGUGAAGGGGCAAAGGGGAUAUUAGUGAUGGAGAAGGAAUGAAGGCAAAAGACAAAGAAGGGUAAUAAUUAAAAUGGAAGGUACACUAGGGAAAAAAAAUAUAAAAAGAUGACUAUGUCCCAUGACUCUGCAUCUAAUAAUAAUUUCAUACUUUUGUGUGGGGGAUAUAUGUAUCAUGCAUGUAUCUAAGUUUUUUUCCCUUCUACCCUAUUUCUUUUUGUCUUUCAUGUAUGUAUACUAGUUUUCAUCCUCUUUGUUCCUUUGGAAAUUUAAUUAGGUCAUUUCACCAAUAAAUUAAUGAAGAAUGUAGUGAAAUGCGAUAUUUAGUGUGAAUUGCUGUGAAUAUAGAGUUUUUAACACAAAUUACGUCUGAAGUCAUUAGAUUGAGGACAUGUCUGUCUGAGUGUCACGUAUGAAGAAGAAAAGAAGAAGUGAAGAUAGGAAAUGAAAAUGUUGUUUAACCAAUUAAUUUGUUGUAGUAGAGAUUGAAGAUACACGUGUUCUAACCUCUAACCAUAAUUGAAAUGGUUUUCUUAUUUUCUGAUUAUGGAGGAGAAAGUCUUUUCGUUCAUUUUGUCUAAACUUGUUGUCAAUCACCAAUCACUCUCUUUAUGGAGUUGACAUGCUAUAUUACUUUAUUGGCAUUUAGGUGUUCGUGAAAUUUUUAUACUAUAAAAUUGACCAGUUUAUGGUUGUCACUCUAUUAUAAUUUUUUUUUUUUCGAAUUUGAAAUAAAUAAGAGUAUAAACAAGCUUACUCGAGCAAAGUUAUAUUGCUUGAGUUUAACUUGUUUGAAAUUGAAGUGUCGUUAUUAUGACAAAUAAUUUAGGAAAUCGUGGGAUGGCACAUGAAUAAAAAACAAACGAUUUGCUUAAUGUUUUUUUUUCAAGAGUUAAUAUUUCAUAUAUUUUUUUUCAAUAUGUUAGAACCAAAGCAGUCAAGGUUAUGUCCGAAUUAAUAAUCAAGAGAGUGAGUUGUGAAUCAUAAGAUUUUAGAUGCAAAUUUCAAAUGAGAGCGAUCAAAACUCUAUGUAAAUUUUUUCUAUUUGUUUUAUAAGUCUUGAUAAAGAAAAUUACUUUGUAUAUGCUACCGCACAAAAUUAGUCAAACUGUGCUAGUGGCUCAUUCACCAUAGUUAUGGAUUGUCAAUGACUAACACAAGAUGAUUUUGGAUAUUCAAUUUCACUUGCAUCUUGUGUGAAAAAUGAUCAGCUAUUUGAUUAUCUUGCCGUUGUUGCUGAUUGUUUUUUUUUUUUGGAAAAAUUAUUUAACAAAAGCAAAUAUAUGUCUGGUAUUUAUUUGAAAUAAUGAAAUUUAAAAAAAAAAUUAGUUUUAUUUUUUUUGCUUUAUUGUUCACUUGCUCUGUAUAUAUACAACAAAUUAUAUAUUGAGCAGAUUGAUAGACUGGUACAAAGCAAAUUAAUUAUACACUGUAUCACGAGUUUCUAAAGUAAACUGUUACGACAUUGGUAAUUAUCCAAAUUAUUACUAUGAUUGAUAAUUAGGACUCCUAGUGCUGCUAGCUAUUUGUGAAAUUUCCUUUCUUUUACUGCUAAAUUACUUACUAGUAGUAUGAUAUGUGAAUUAAAUUAAUAUCUCUUGACCGACUUAUACUUAUAAAAUUAUGUGUAUAUUGAAACCCUCUAUAACUUGGGUUGUACAUAACACAUAGUUUCUCAAAGAAAUUUGACUUUACUUUUUUGUUUUCGAGGUAACUCUCAUCAAUUAAUAAACUAAUUUAACCUUUUCAAUAUGUAUUAUGUAUUAAAUUCGUUUGAACUAAAGAAGCUAAAUGAAAGAGAUUAAUUCCUACGUACCUAACCUUAUUAUAUGGUUAGUAUAAUUUUACAAAUAAAGAAAUGAAAAAAGGAUACAACUAACAACAAAAACUAAAAAGGAAAGAUACAAAAGAAUUAGUAUUUUUUUUGUUUCUGUAUCGCAGAUCGACUUAAUUCGGAUUUGCCCUAAAAAAUUACCAUUGAAGAUAAUCGCUUCCUAACAAAAAUAACUCCGUAUAGCAGAAGACUCGAAUCCGACACACAAAAGAAUAUUAUCAUGACUAAAUAAGGACGUCUUGGAGUUUUUCUUUUUCAGUUACAUGCUUUAAAAUGUUCUAACCGUAAGACCCACUAACUGGGGGACCGUUUGGAAAAUAAUUUCCUUACGAAAUCAAAUCUUUUUAAAAUUCUUUGGAGAUCUGAAGAUGGUAAAGUCAAUUCAAUAUAUUUGACUUGAAAGUUUUUUUAAAAUAAUAAUUAAGACAAAGUGAGAUUUGAAAAAAAUAACUGACACACUCAAGAAAGUGAUUUUUUGUUAGAUUCUUAUGUAAAAGAUUAAUUAUCUCUAGAAUUUUUAACCAAUAGUAGGUAAAGUUUCAUAUUUUGGAAAGAAUCUGCUUUAUUUUAUCUCUUAAUUUUCAUCAAAUCCAGAAAAGUUAUUUCAAUUCCAGUGGUCGAUCAAGGUUGUUUCCUUAAACCUUUAUUACUUUGAAAACACAGCAGUGACUAAAACGAAAGAUUUGAUUUUAUAGCCUUUUACAAAUUUAUUUUUAAUUUUAUGUCAAAUGUUAUUUUUACAUGUAAGAAAUCUGAAACGUUCAUUUUCUUUAGUUCAAUUCUUCAAGUGACAAAAGAGAUCACUUCAUUGAUUAAAAUCGUAAUGAGCAUUUACUUUGUUGUCAAUUGUCAUUUUUAUAUGUUUGAAUGCAAUUUUACUACAGAGAAAUCACUAUUUUUGCAUUGAAAUUUUCUAUUGAAAAUUUUGUAGUGGUUAAUUUUUUAUAGAUAUUUUAAUUUAAUCAGUGAGAAGAAAAAAAUGUUUAGUGUCUAACUGUCUAUUCUUCAGUAUUCCAAUGAAAAUCUCUUUGCCACCAUGUGUUUUCCCUAGUGAGCUGGUUCAGUGGAAGUAAGGUGGAAAAAUCAUGUUUUAUAACACAAAUUUCUUAGUGAUUCACAGUUGAAAAAAUCACUAUUUCUAUUAGUGGUUGAGUCUAAAAUUUGAAAAAUGUUGGUCAUUACUUGGUAAAACUUUGCACUAAAGUUCUGUGCGGCGCUUGACAACUUACUCACGAAUUUCGAAGUGAUGGACAUAACAUUAUGCUGUUUAUUAAUCCUCGGCAUCAAGUGAUUGAUAUACAAAUCUUAGCAUAAAAUGUGCAAAACUUUUAGUAAGAAACAAUGGCUUAAUUUCGUUAAAAAGGCAUACAAAAAGAUAAGUAAAUCAAAAGUUGAAAAUUAGGUAACUUUGUUUUAGGAAACAAUAAUUAGAAUAGAGUCUUUCAACUAUCAUUAGAUCACCUGGAAGAUAAAAAGCCUAAAAUUUGAAGAAUCAUCACACUUUGACUCUGAUCUACUACUUAACUAACUACUAAAUUGAAUUAAUUUUUCAACUAAAAGACAAACAUGUCUUAAUUCAAACUCAAGUUUGCCAAAAUCACCUGAACAAAGCAGUCAAUGAUUUUAUUCAAUAACUAAAUUAAAGCAGUCAAUGAUUUUAUUCAAAAAUUCCUUGGUAAAUGCGUUAUCAAUGAUUUUUCUUGCUUGUGUUUUAUUCAAAUUCCCCCCCUAUAAACGUUUUGAAUCUAAAUAAUCGUGGGGAUUUCUUAAAGUAUGAUAAGUGCGGAAUAAGAAUUUUUAUAAGCAAAUACUACAAAAUAUCUAAGGAGAUUCAAUUUAUAUAUACACUAUAAUUUUUAAUUAAAAAAAUCAGAUGAAUCCCUUGUGCCUCUGGCUCGACUAUCACCAUCAGAAUAUAUAACUUAAACGUACUACAAUAAUGAACGUUGUUUUCCUAGUUUAAUUGUUCUUCUCUGCUUUUGGGCAGCCAAAAUCAUGUAACUACCAUGGAACGAUACUCAAGUAACAAAUAGGUAAAAGAAUAAGGAGAAUUUUAGUUGCUCAGAUAAUUGGCUAACUGAAUUUUCACUUUAUUGGUGAAGGUUUGAUUCUCUACCUAGUAAUCGUUUCCCCCUUCCCCUACCCCAAUUUGAAAAGGAAAGAAAAAAAGAAUAGGUAAAAAAUAGUUUCUCACUCAUAAUAGAUAUUGGUGUCUAGAGGCUAUCAAUUAUGCCAUGAAUCUAGCUAAAAGCCUAAAAGCAUCAACAAUUAAUUUAUUGUACAAUUAUAAUAUUAUCAUUCUUAAUUUUCCUUCAAAAUGAACUUGGUAAAGGUGUUUGUAUGUAUGUAUAUUCCAUUUAAGGUUAUGGCCUUUGAAAAUUAAGAUGCCCUGCCCAUCUAUAAUUAGGUCUCAAUCAAUGCUUCAUGGUCAAAACAUUCUUUGAUGGGCCUUUUAUUCCAUACUAUAUUCUUUUUCAUAAGUAUAAAGAAAAUUAAACAAUUUUCUAUUAGCAAUUUUAUCUAUUAAGAAAAUCUCAAUUUGCUUAGUAGGGAGACUGCACCUAUUGCACGCCUUCUCCUAUAAAAAUCUCAUUGUGGGCCACAAUACGGACAUACAAAAAUACGUGUGUUGAAAAAAAGAAAAUGUCAUGCCCAAGACCAGGCGGACGAGGGCGGGUCAAAGAUAAGGACGGAUAGUUAUGCCGAGGAAGGAUUAAUGCACAUGAUAUCUUAAUUAAAUAAUUUCACAUCGAGAUGAGAAAGAAAAUUAAGUGAAGAAUUUAUAAGAUAUAUCACAAGUUGAUCAUAUGUUGCACACAAUGACAAUAUAGCUCUAAGUAUACAAGUUUAUGUAAUCUGUUGAACUAAAACGAACUAUACAUAAUGAAUUGUGAUAAAAAGAAUAAAUGUAUGACUCACGUCUGAAAGGAUUGCACCAAGUAAUUAAGUAAAGGGGACAUAAUUGAAUAAUUUGAUGGAUAAUUUGAUGAUAGGGGUAACAAUGAUUUUUUUUUUUCAUUCAUGUUCAUUCAAACAAGUUUCCUUUUAUUGUCAAAAUAGACGUGAAUUUUAGUGAUGGAUUUUACAUCACUGGUUUCUGACAAUGUUGGGUAUCAAAAGUCAAAGAUUUCAAAAUCAUCGGAUCUUAUUUUUAUUGGGAUAUAUUAUUAACUAUAUGGUUGAAUUAUAGUAUUGAUUUUAAUUCUUUAUAAAAAUUUAGCAUUUGUGUGGCCAUUACUAUUGUACUAGAUGAUUUUUGUGUAUGGAGUUGUUUAACUCAUAUGCGGAAGAUUAAAAUUGUCGGUUCUUAUAAGUUAUAAAUUAAAUGUUUACAAUCAAAGAUGAAGUUGGACAAACAUCUUGAUGAUUGUAGCACAAGAUUAAAUAUAAUUCUAUCUUAAUUAUGAAAAUGUUAAAAUUUCAACUUCUUGUGUUAGUACAUUUGUAUGUGUUGAACGGACCAAAUUGAGAUAUUCAUUUAGGUUCUGAAUUUUAAAAUAUCUCUAGUCCAUUACAUUGCUUAUACUCUUAAUCUUGAUAUAGUUAUUAUGAUUUGUGUAGUUUGUUUUAUUAUUUUAAUCUAUUAAAAGGUGAGACUCAAUGAUUAGUCAAAAUAUUCCUAAUGGAUUGGAUAAUGACAAAUUACAUUCGUGAAAUAAUAAUUAGUUGAUAGAACCAUAUCUCGGAUAUGAGAAAGAAGACACCCUUUUAUGGUUCCUUAAAAGUUGUCACGUGAAAACCUACAGGUGGAUUAUAUAUAUAUAUAUCACGUAAAUUAAUUUAAGCAUGGAGAUAAAUGAUUAAAUUAAUUAAUAUAUUAAAUUUUUUAGAAGUUUGAUUUAAUUCAUAGGUGUCGGUAAUUUUAACAUAGGGAGUUAAAUAAGUUAUAAUGGUAAAUUUUGAAAUUAAAUAGAUGUGCACAAUUAUAGAUUUUUAGUGAUACAAUAUGUGAUUUAUUAUGAUAUGGUUAAUUCAUGUUUUUAUCAAUAAAAUAUAUUAAUUGAAAGCCUCUGUUAAUAAAUUUGUGGUUCCUACUAUGCCUGAUUAAUUGAUCAAGUUCAGAAAAAAAAGACUAUUAGUAUUUUUUUUCUGUUUAGAAAUAAAUCAUUUUUGACUUGGUUCAAAAGAGGAUUUUUUUUUUAUUUCCUUAAAAGAAGAAAGAAGAAAAUACUUGGUUUCUUUGUUUCCUUGGAAGAUGAAAGAAGCAAAUAUCGUUAUUAAUGGUAUUAACAGUGUUUAAUAGUUAUUGAAUACCUUCAAUGGUGUUUAACAACUAUUGAUGAUAUUUAACGGUUGUUGAAUACGUUUAAUGACUGCCUAAAUAUCCUUACUGGUAUUUAAUGAUUGUUGAUAGCUAUUGAACAUGACUGUUGGUUACUCCUAAUGGUGUUUAAAUACACUUAAUGGUAUUUAAUGGCUAUUAAUUAUGACUAAAAAUGUUUCAUCUUUUAAACCUUUCCCCUUUGCUGAAAAGUAUAAAUAGGGGUGGUGGUUCUCAAGAAAAGAUCAUCAUUUUUUCUGAAAAUAUUUUUGUCCACACAAGACUUAAUUGAGAGAGUUAGUCAGGAACUAGUAGAACACUACAAUCCAAUGAGUUGUGUGAAAACUUCAAAAGGUUAGAGUUUCACAAUUUAUUCAGUUUACAUUAUUAUGUUAUUAUGUCUGUUUGUGAUCUUGAAUAAUGAUUCCGCUAUGCAUAUUUUAACAAUUUUGUCCUGGCAUAAUUUCUAGCUACGAGUGGUAAAAUUAGGGAUGACAAUUGGGUGGGUUGGAUCAAAUUUGGACGGAUCCUAAUGGGUUAAGAUAAUAAUAGGAUUAAGACCCAACCCAAUCCAACCCAACCGAAAUUUAUUUGGUUCAUUAUGAGUUAGGUAAUGGAUACAUUUCGGGUUUGACCCAACCCAAACCAAUUUUUACUAAGCUUAGUCAUUUUAUUUGUUCUUUCAAACUAUUUUAGUACCUAAUUAAAAAAAUUUUCUCUCUUUAUUAUGUCUAUAUUCAACAUAUCAAAUUGAAAAAAGAGUUUUUUAAAAGUAUUAUGACAAAAAUUUUCAUGAGCCAAUUUGAAUUACGUAUCAACCCAAUUUUUAAUGGGUUGAACUAAUGAAGAAGCAAUUUUCACAUAUAACAAACACAAAAUUCAUAUUUGUAUGCUAUAACAAAGUUUGCAUAAUUGUGCUCCAUAGCAAACAUAUAUAAGUAUAAUUCGCUAUACAUAUACAAAAAGAACAGUUGUAUGAGGACGAAUAUAUAUGUAUUUGCAUGUGUAUAUACAAUUUUCUCGCGCUUUAUACAAACAGAAACGCAAUUUAUACAAUUCUGUUGUAUAAAACGAGAAAGAGAGAAAGACAAAAGAAAACUGGGCAGGAAAAUAUUUGUAUUGUAUAAUUAUAAAUGUAUAGGACGAAGAUAUAUGUAUUUGCAUGUGUAUAUACAAUUUUCUCUCGCUUUAUACAAACAGAAGCGUCAAUUUAUUACAUUUCGUUUCUGUUUGUAUAAGCGAGAGAGGCGAGGGUGGCGAGCAAGAUUUGGGAGAGGGGAACGAAAAUAUAUGUAUAUAUACAAUUUCCUCUCGCUGUAUACAAACACAAAUGCAUUUUAUACAUUUGUGUUUGUAUAAAAAGCGAGAGAGGCGAGCGAAACUGCCACCAAACGAGAGUGGCGAGCGAGAUUCCACCAGGAAGAGUGGCGAAAAAUAACAAUAGUUUGCUAUAGGGUACAAUUAAAUCAAAGUAUAUUUAUAACAUUUAAUUUGAAUUAAUAGUUUGCUAUUAUAUAUAAUUUCGGGUCAAUAAUCCGCCCAAACUUAAACGAAUUAGACGAGUUGGAUUUGAAUUUGAUUUUGCCACCCCUAAAUAAAAUUAUUAACCUAUUAAAAAAUGAGUCUGCUCAAAUUUGGGUGGGCUGAAUUAGGCAUAAUUUAGCGGAUCAAUUUGAACAGAACUAAAGUCGGUUCAUCUAUAAAAAAUGAAUUGAUAGAGCGCCUAGGGAUACGAAAAAACUCCGUUCAAUUAUAUAUAAGUGUUUCUAGUUUUUCAGUUAAAUAAGAGUGUUACUGAAUAGAGUUUAAAAACAUGCCUACUAACAGAUCAUUUGAAAAAUAAUUUACACUUGUUAUUUUCUUGGGACAGAAUAUUAAACGAUGAUAAAGGAUCAUGCAAUUAUUGAAAAAGAAACUGUAGGGAUGCACCUUGCAUGGAUACUCUAAAGUCCAAAUUAAGAGUUAAAGUCCAGUUAGAAUCCAAUACAUAACAUUGUCAAAAUAGCCCAAUCCAGCACCAUAGUCCAUAUCAUAAGAAGGCCCAAAAUAGCUCCCAACUGUAGUGUAGACAAUACACUAGUAUAGCCCAACAGGCCCACAGCAGAAAAGCCCUCCAAUUCCUGACUAAGCAGUAAGCACGUUUAAUUUUUAAUUAACUACUAUAUCUUUAAGGGAAAAUUAUACAUAAUGACAAACUAUUAAUUCAAAUUAAAUGGUAUAAUCACACUUUGAUUUAAUUGUGUCCUGUAGCAAACUGUCUGCCAGCGCCUCUCUCCCUCAAACUCUUGCUCUCCACUCUCCUCUCUCGCUCGCUCACUCCCUCUGUGCUCGCCUCUCUCGCUUUAUACAACAAAAGUGUAUAAAUUGCGUUUCUGUUUGUAUAAAGUGAGAGAAAAUUGUAUAUACACAUGCAAAUACAUAUAUAUUCGUCCUAUACACUUAUAAUUAUACAAUAAAAAUAUUCCCCUGCCUAGUUCUCUUUUGUCUUUCUCUCUUUCUCGUUUUAUACAACAGAAUUGUAUAAAGCGCGAGAAAAUUGUAUAUACACAUGCAAAUACAUAUAUAUUCGUCCUAUACACUUAUAAUUAUACAAUAAAAAUAUUCCCCUGCCUAGUUCUCUUUUGUCUUUCUCUCUUUCUCGUUUUAUACAACAGAAUUGUAUAAAGCGCGAGAAAAUUGUAUAUACACAUGCAAAUACAUAUAUAUUCGUCCUAUACACUUAUAAUUAUACAAUAAAAAUAUUCCCCUGCCUAGUUCUCUUUUGUCUUUCUCUCUUUCUCGUUUUAUACAACAGAAUUGUAUAAAGCGCGAGAAAAUUGUAUAUACACAUGCAAAUACAUAUAUAUUCGUCCUAUACACUUAUAAUUAUACAAUAAAAAUAUUCCCCUGCCUAGUUCUCUUUUGUCUUUCUCUCUUUCUCGUUUUAUACAACAGAAUUGUAUAAAGCGCGAGAAAAUUGUAUAUACACAUGCAAAUACAUAUAUAUUCGUCCUAUACACUUAUAAUUAUACAAUAAAAAUAUUCCCCUGCCUAGUUCUCUUUUGUCUUUCUCUCUUUCUCGUUUUAUACAACAGAAUUGUAUAAAGCGCGAGAAAAUUGUAUAUACACAUGCAAAUACAUAUAUAUUCGUCCUAUACACUUAUAAUUAUACAAUAAAAAUAUUCCCCUGCCUAGUUCUCUUUUGUCUUUCUCUCUUUCUCGUUUUAUACAACAGAAUUGUAUAAAGCGCGAGAAAAUUGUAUAUACACAUGCAAAUACAUAUAUAUUCGUCCUAUACACUUAUAAUUAUACAAUAAAAAUAUUCCCCUGCCUAGUUCUCUUUUGUCUUUCUCUCUUUCUCGUUUUAUACAACAGAAUUGUAUAAAGCGCGAGAAAAUUGUAUAUACACAUGCAAAUACAUAUAUAUUCGUCCUAUACACUUAUAAUUAUACAAUAAAAAUAUUCCCCUGCCUAGUUCUCUUUUGUCUUUCUCUCUUUCUCGUUUUAUACAACAGAAUUGUAUAAAGCGCGAGAAAAUUGUAUAUACACAUGCAAAUACAUAUAUAUUCGUCCUAUACACAUAUAAUUAUACAAUAAAAAUAUUCCCCUGCCCAGUUUUAUGUUUGUAUAAUGUAUAAUUUAUGUUUUGUAUAAAGCGAAAGAGAGCGAUUCUUUUUGUAUAUAUGUAUAACGAAAUAGACAGCUUUCAAUUGUAUAUGUAUAGCGAAUUAUACAUAUAUAUGUUUGCUAUGGAGCGCAAUUAUGCAAACUUUGCUAUAGCAUACAAAUAUGAUUUUUUUGUUUGCUAUAUGUGAAAGUUGCUCCGACAAUCCCUUUUAUAUAUAAAAUAUAUAAUAUUUAAAUUAUUCUUAUAGAUAAAUUACCCUUAAUUACGUAAUAACAAUAAAAACAUAACAAAGUACAUCAAUAAUUCAAUAGUUUAACACUUUAUAAUUCGUUAAAAUUAUGACCGAUACAAAUGCACAUAUGAAUUAAUUGGAAGUGAAUGAUGUUCAAUCACAAAUCACAACGACCAAAGUUUAAAUUUAUUUAUACUGGAGGGACUAAAACUGUUAACUAUUGUUUUCUUAAGUGUAAAAAAUCCAACAAAAAAAACAAAGCAGAGAAAAGGCCAAAAGCCUAUAACAGACUGUUUACUUUCAAACUCAUCUCUCUCUGCUAAAUCCAUUUUUUUCAUGCAAACUUUCUCAUCAACAUCUGUCACUCUUCUCCCACGCGUCCAUUCUCCUCUUCCUUUAUAUUCACUCCCACCUUCUUCCCUCUUUUCUCAUCCUCAAUUUAAUCAUCAUUCACUCUUCAAUUAAUUUAAUUUUUUUUAAAUAAAAAAAAUAAAUUCAAAUCUGCCGUUCUAUCCAUGGCUGAGCAACAGUCCCGUACCCAGCAGCAGCAGCAACAGCAACAAAUGCAAGUUCAGCCAACGGAGGCUAUCAAAAGCCUUCUUCCUCAAAAAGGUCCUUCUAAAUCCCAAAUCCUUGCUGUCGUCACUCUCUUCCCUGUCGGUGGAGCUCUCCUUUGCCUCGCCGGACUUACGCUCGUCGGAACUGUGAUCGGACUUGCCGUUGCUACUCCUGUUUUUCUGCUGUUCAGUCCGGUUUUGGUCCCGGCGGCACUGACAAUCGCGCUGGCUGUUACCGGAUUUUUGACGUCCGGUGCGUUUGGGAUAACGGCGUUGUCGGCGUUAUCGUGGAUGAUAAAUUAUAUGAGGAAAAUGAGGGGAACAGCUGGAGAGCAGAUGGAGCAUGCGAAGAGGAGGGUGCAGGAAGCUGCGGGGCAUAUGGGACAGAGAACAGCCCAGAAGUAGGCUACUAGAAUGCGUGAUUGAAUUCUGAUUGGAGUACUGUUAAGUUCUGUGUUUUUUUAUAUAUAAUUUAAUAUGUGUAUGUAUUACUGUCUUUAAUGUGCUUAAUUUGCAGCGUUUUGAUUUUCUAGUACUAUAAUAAAAUGCGUGAGCCUUUUGUGUUUGGUAUCUUCUUUUCGUUGAAUGUCGAAUUUGGACUCUGUUGUUUUGCCGGUAAACAAAGUUACGAUUCUAAGUGGCGUACUAUGCUAUAUCACUUAUUUGUGUCUAUUUUUCACACUCGCGAAAAUAUUACUAGUGCAGAAUUUAGACCUUAAUGAUCAGUCGCUAAUAAUAUUGAGAUGGAAGUCAAGCCAUAUAAUAGUGUGAUUGAGCAAAUAAUUAACACAAUGACUAACAUGGUAGAAUUUUGGAAAUAUCAAAUGCACUUUUUUAAAAGGGAAAAUUAUAUAAAAUGACAAUCGGAUUAAAAUUUUUACUCAAUAUAGCCAUUCCGCCACCUUUUCUUUUCAUCCAAAAAUCUUUUUUUGGAUGAAUAUGGAUGUAUAUGCUUUCGGCCACCCUUUCUUUACAAAUCCAAAAAAGAAUUUUACUUUUAUGUAAAGAAAAGGUGGCCGAAUUUUCAGCUAUUUUUGGAUGAAGAAUAUAGAUGUAUGUAUAUUUUUGAUAUAUAUACUAUUUAUAAUCCAUUGAUACAAAAUAUAUACAUUAUAUAAACUAUUUAGGCACUAAUUGAAAUAAUUUGUCACUUGUACAGUUAUGUAAUCUAUUAAAACCCUAGGUCCUUUUACGUGGGCUAGCAAGAAAGAAAACAUGGGCAAAAAACUAACUAACAUUCACAAUAUAAAUUAGGCCCACUAAUGUAUUAACUAAUUUUUCAUCUCAUACAUUAUAGGAAAAAUUACAUUUAUAUGUAUUACUCAAUAUUUUUUAAAUAAAAUAUGUCACUACUAACCAAUUUUUAAAGUAAUAUUCCGAUCUUCAUAUUCUAUUUCUAUAAAAACUUUAUCAAAAUGCUCAUAAUGUAUACAUCUAUAAUGAAGUAAAAGUACUUUUUUUCUGAACUGUGCAAUGGUUGUGCCAUAUUUGUGCCAAAAGUGUGUGCGCAAAUAUAAAGAAAAUAUAUUUGAGCUAAAAGAAAAAAAAGUGUAUUUUCAGCUUUAAAAACUAGCGACGUAUAUUUGCGAUCCUAUUCUGUACUUGGAGAUAUAUAUUGAUGACUGAUGAUGUUGAUUGUCGGUAGUGAUUGAUGGUUGUUGUGGUAAUAGUAGUUGGUGGUGAUGAUUGUGAAUGGUGGCUAGUGAUGGUGAUGAUUGAUGAAUGUACUGAUUGGCAGUGACGUCAGUUGUGGGUGGUGGACGGUUAGUAGUUGCUAAUGGUAGGUGAUUGUGGUGAAUGAAUAGAAUUAUUGAACUAUCCUUGAAUAUACAUCUUUAUGAUAUUAAAACUUUGUUACAUAUCUUAAUCGGUCAUCUAUUCAAGUGAUUCAACACACAUUAAGUGGUUGUAAUGGUUAAAUAUCUGAAUAAUUAUAAUUCAGACCUAAAACACAAAUGAAUUUAAUGACAGAUUUGUAUGAUUAAUAAGAUUAAAACCUUCAUUAAGUGCAAAUAAACGAGGCCUUAGUAUUUAUCUAGAGUUAUUCAUACGCUUAUCGUUAUGCUUCAUGCUCUUUGCCAAAUGUGUAAUUGUAGGUACUUGAUGGUUGGUGUGGUUCGUCUCCCUUGCUAUGGUAUGUUUGCCUUGGUGAUAGCAUUGAAGUAUUGGUUAGCAAAAUUGUUCAAAUGGAUGAUUAGAAAGAUAUCUGGAGACAAACAAUGAGUUCAAAUACCAUUAAACAAAUAAAAAAGCAUUACUCAAUAUACACUAGUAAUUCUUAAACCAAAAUGUCUUUUUUUCUUUUAAAUUCUUAAUGUUGCUCAGAUAAAUGAGCUGAGCAGCACAAGCUAUUCUAUUUAUACGUUUUACCCUCAUCAACAGACUCGGAAGAAAUGGAAAAAGAUUUUAUUCCCACAUUCUUGAAUCUCCUUUGUAUAUCCUUCUCAUAUUUGAUAUGUUCUACUUGAAUCGAGGAUUAUCGAAAACAACCUCAGUAAGGUUAAGGAUGCAUAUCCACCACCCUCUCCAAACCCCGUAUGUAAUUGUUGCUUGAAUCUCCAUGUGUAACUACCUUCAUAUUGUCUACUAUUUCAGCUUGUGUUGCAAACCACUAGAGUCUAUUCCAAGGGGAAAAUAUGUGAAGCCUCUUUUAGUCAUUUAGCAAUGAUUAAAAAGGCAUUAAAACAGAAAUGUAUCAUUUAAUUUAGCCUGAACUAGCAUCUAAGUAGACAUUUAAACUUAUUUAAGAUUAAACAAGUUAACACAUUUUGAGCCUUGAAAAUAAUUGAGAUUUUAGUGGGGAGUUGUUUCUCCUUUUGACAGACAUUAUAAUACACAAUUCAAAUAGUCAAAACUCUAAAGCCAAUAUUGAAUACUGAGUACUGAGUGGGAAACAAAAAAGACACAACAUUCAAAAAUUCUAAAUAUUCUUCUACACAAUGGAGAUAUUAAGUACCCAAUAGAAUAAUCGAGGUGUAAACAAACAAAGAGUCCUACAACAAUAACAAGAUAAGUGUUCAAUUGUCAAGAAAUAUUAUCUUCACAUAUCUCUCAUCAAGCAUGCAAAUCUUGGCAGAAAAGAUGCACUCUUUGGAACUCAUUAUCCACCAAGUUUCGAACCAUAUGCCAAAUAGUGUUAGAGCAUUUCUUGGUUACUAAAAAAAGUGCUAUUUGACAUCUCCAGUAGUUCAAACAUAUCAGAAGCACACAGAAAGAACAUCUUCAAUGUGGCUAGCAACACAUGGAGGGGAAAUGGAAUUCAAUGAAGAAAAAUUAUGCACAGGAAAGUCCUUUGCCAUGAAAAGCAGCCAGCACAAAAAUAAAGGGAAGUAAUCAAAUCCAAUGACAAGAUAUUCUAGGCACAACAAACAUAAUGUUUAGGUGGGGAUUGCCAAUAGAACAUAAGGAAAACCCUUCAAAUUCCUAUCCCUACUUUGAAUAUGUUUUCCAAGUUGAUGUUUUUUUCUGUCUUUCUGAUAGUAUUUUCAGCUUCCCGGACCAAUAAUAAAAGAGAAGAAAAGAAAUAAAAAGGGCCCCCAUUUGCUUGAAUUACCAUAAUCAAGGUUUCACAUUCUCCCUAAUGAACUUCUCUAGCUGAGAAAUUUCACCGGUCAGACCAGAAGCUUCAGCAACAAUUACUCUGUUAUGGCAUUGAGAAAAAGUAAAUGGUUCUCCAGGUACACCAAGCGUAUAUUCAUUAGAGAUAUCUGCAUCAGAUACAGCAGUUCUUGAUGUACGAAGCUUGUCGC
rnacentral:lncRNA from 1 species